UCAAAUCAUAUUCCAUCCAAAUUACAAGGUUCAUGAUUCAAAUUCAUUCAUUACAAUACCAAGUUCAUACAAGAUUCAAUGUUCAUCAAUGCAUUCAAAGUCAAUGUCAUUCAUUCAAGUCAAAACCAUUCAAAUUCAUUCCAAAUAAUCAUUUACAUUGCAAAAGAAUGUUCAUUACAUCAAAAAAUACAAAAAAUGGAAUUGCUGACCAAAUGUUGACUUUGGUCAACAGUUGACUUUUUGGUCAACUUUGACCAAAGUCAACCCAAUUCCCGAACUCCCCAUUACCAAAAUCCCUAAACCUCUAAUGUUCUUGUUCUUCAUGAUCUUCAUGGCAUUUGUCCAUCACCUACAAGAAGAAACCAAACACAUGUUCAUUAUGCCAUUUUUCAUACAUGAGCCAAGUCCAAACCAAAAUCAUAUAUGGCCAUUAAUGUAAUUUUCAAGCAAUUCCAAGCAUACUAUUCAGCUAUGUAAAGAAAGGGAUGCUACUCAAUCUUACUAUAAGCCUCUUGUAUCAUGUAUAAGUGGGACAUCUAGCAAGCGCUGGAUUGCAAUACAGAACAGAUCCAUUGAUUCUGAAUUGAGUUCAGCUGAGCCUGAAAUUCAUGGAGUUCAGCCUGAAGACUUUUACGAAGACGUGCAUUUCUGGUGAUCAGUUGUUGGUAAUUAUUGGUCCCUGCUUACACCACUAAUUUUCUCUGACCAUCCAAAGAGACCUGGAGAUUAAGAUCCACUGCCUCCAUAUAAUAUGAUUCGGAAUAUUAUGGACAUGUAUUCUAAUUAUGGAGGUUUGAAUGCUGCCCUGCUGGAGGAGAAAAGGUCAGUGUGGGUCAUGAAUGUUGCUCCUGCCAGGGCUACUAAUGCACUUCCUCUCAUACUAGAUAGAGGUUUUACAGGUGUUAUGCAUGACUGGUGUGAACCUUUCCCCACCUACCCGCAGACAUAUGAUAUGCUUCAUGCAAAUAGGUUUUUAUCAUAGUUCAUUUCAGAACAAUGCAAUCAUUAAACAGAAGCAACAACAAUCAAAACCAAUAGAAACCUUGCAUAAAAUCAACAAAAAAAAAUAUUAUAAUAGGAGAAGCAAAUUAUGGAAGAGGGGAAAGAAAAGAUUAACAGAACUCAAAGAAAAUAUCCAAAAAGAAAACCAAUAGAAUUAGAACUUUUGAAACCACUUGAAACCUCUUGAAUCAUAACAACCAACUAACUUUCUAACCUCUCAAAACUAACCUAUAACAGAAGGAUAACUUCACAUAACACAAGGCCAUAACCGAAUCCUAACCACCCUUUCUAAUUGUCAUAACUAACCUCCAAACUGAGCUUAAAAAAACUCACAUUACCCUUCAAUCAACUCCAUAACAAAACCUCCAAACCAAAUUCCUCCAACCGAAUAAUCAACACCCAACAACUUCGAUUAUCCUCCAACCUAAGUGUCUCACCCUAAAAACUAACAUCAACAAAAAGCUCAGCAGAAAUUCAUAUACAUACUGAACUUAACCAAAUAACUCACUAAAUAAUCUCAACCGAAUUUCCAACUGACAUUAGCCACUUCUCAACUUCUAACCGAAUGAACAACCAAUUUCAUAACAGCUGACUGAUUUGAAAUCAAUAGUUAACAAAGUGCAUCAAACUAAUACAAGCAUAGCAUAAUAGAUAACUAACAACAUUUAUUGUAACCAUAUAACUAACUUCAGAUGAGAACCAACUCGGUAACUAACAUGCCAACUGUCAUAACCGGCAACUGCUAACAACCACUUCCAACUGAAUCACAACCUUAAAAACUCCAAUUCGUAACAGAUUCGAACCGACUGCGAAAACCAACUGCACCUUGCUACAAACCUUCAAUCUCCCUAACCAACUUCCCACAACAACCAACUGAAUUCCAAAUUGCCACAACAAACUCUAACAGAAUUCAUAACCUCUCCAACUCUCUCUAACUCCAACACAACAUAACAGAACGAAACCGACAUAAACACCUCCCUCACACCUUCAAACAUAAUAAGAACCCGCUCAACCAAUACCUAACAGAACCUGCAUAAACGCCUCCUCCAACCAUCCACCAACCACAACAGAAUUUUCCCAAAAAAAGGCUUCUAACAGAGCAGAACUGAAGACAAAAACGAAAACCUGCAACUCAACAUUUAUUCACCUUCACUCUACAAUCCAAUUUCACCCUCAAUAACCAAGGAUCCUCUAACAUGCAAUCACCUUCAAUCAAACACUUCAAAACCACCCUUGAACCUGCUAACAAAACUUCAUCCUUCAAUCCACGAUUUACCAUCUUCAACUCAAUACAAUAACAAUUCGGCGGCACUUCUUCAAUCCAGCAAAGAACUCGUGACAUUCACCCCACCGUAGACACAUACAAAUUGCCACAACCACACAAUCACGACCAAAAAAAGGAAACAGAAAUAGGAGGAAUUGAAGAAGAAGAGAUCAAGAAGGGAAUCGCGAGUAGAGGAACUGCAGAGAUGAAGAAGCUCGGUGAAAUCUUGAUUAUUCGGUGGUGGUCCGUUUCUUGGCACAGGGAGCCUUUUGAAUCUUGGGCCUAGGGCCUAAGCAUUUUUCAGACUAUACCCAGUUCAAUCAUACAUCCCCAUUCGUUUUUUCACACUUGGCCCAUUAAUCCAAUUUGCUUAACAUUAAUCCAUUCUUAAUGAUUUUGAUUUAUUUUAAUCCUAGUUUUUUCUUUGAUUAGUAGUGAUGCUGUUUGUUAAUCUAGAUUGUGAUCAGGAUUUUUUUUAUUAGGAAUUAAUAUGGUUUUGAUAAUUAGGAAUAGUUAGAAUUGAUUAGGUAAUUAGGUUUUAAUCAAUUUCGUUAAUUAGACUUAAUUCUUUUUUUUCCCGAAUCAGUUCCAUUGUUAUUCUUUGCCAUGAUUAGUAUCAAUUGCCAUUAGGGUUUUUAUAUUCUUUGUUUUUAUCAUUUUGUUCAUGAUAGAAUAACAUGCUUAAAAUGUUGAUUUUUGUUCUUUAAGUCAUUUCCAUUCAAUUUUCCAUUGCAUUGUGAUUACCAUGUUAAUAGGUAUAUUAGAUUCACUUGUGAUUUAGCUUGUUAGAUUUCUCACUUGAUUAAUUUUUGGUCCUGAUUCACGCUUAGGUAAAAUUUCACCUUUAGAAUUAAUAUUCAUUUUAAUUGACUUUUAAUUGAUUCAUUUGGUUUGCGAUCAUAUUGUAAAUUGAAAAUCCCAUUUCAAUUUAGGUGAUGAAUGUUUUGUAUGCUUAAUUUCAUUUGCCAUGAUCACAUGAUAGAUCUUUGAUUGUUUUUCAUUGAGUAACCCAUUACCAUUUGAAUUGACUUAAACCAUUGAAUGUGUUUAUAUAUUAUUGCAUCAUUCUCAUUCAUUUGAAUUGAUCUCAUACUAACCUAUUUGUUGCUUUGUGUUUCCACAUGUUACUUGGAGAUUCGAGUACACUUUUAGCUAGCCUUGCUUCUAACCUACCCAAUAACCUUGUAUUGUUUGUAGUACCAAGCCACUUGUAUGCCUUAGGCAUGGUGCAUAUUUUGUAAUUUUGUAUAAUAUUCUUUCCAUUUCCAUUUAUGUUGUAAUUUCUUACAUCCCCUCAUUGUGGGUCAAAUGUCCCCACAUCCCAUGAUCAUGUAAUAGAUUAUGUUUAUUGCUUAUUUUAGUUAAUUCACCAUGCAUUCUAAUAAUGAAGAUAAAAACAAAACGAUAAAUAAAGCAUUUUAAAAGAAACAAAAGGUACUUGAUCCAACGUCAAGUUGUUUUCUGAAUAAAACUCACACCACUAGAAUGUGAAUACUUGAUCCAACGUCAAGUAUUUCCCACCUAUACCAUGAUCCGUUAUAUCAUCUCUUCUCUGUUCUCUUCUCAACCUCAUUCAACCUCUCACCUCCACUCUUCACACACACUUUUUCAUAAUAAACUCAAACACUUGAUCCAACAUCAAGUUCCUUCUUCAAACCAUUUUCAUAACAAACCAGAAUGCAAAAAUAGGGUGUACAUGUUUGUACAUAACAUUCAAGUACUUGGGUUGUCGUCCGUACCUAGCUUGAGAACCCGAUGUAAGGCCCCAAUUUUGACCCUAAGAUCCCUCAUGCUAUCUCAUCAUUUGCAUUCGCUUUGGGAUCACACCUUGGCAUCCUCCUUACCCCUCAUUCAUUGGGUUUGCAUUGGGAGAGAUCACCAAGAAAAUUUGAUUGUAUCAUACUUUAUUUUUCAUCGUUUACUAACCAAAAUACCAAAAGCAUAUCUAUGUAUAACUUUGUUUCUUUUGUAGGUAGUGUGUGCAUCCACCUAUGCCUCAUCAAGCUCAAAAUUAGGGUUUGAGACCCUCAUGACAAGAGAUCAAUCAAGGAAAGGUUCACAAUGUUUCUAAACAUCAUAUAUGGAUCCCCAUGUUAUUCAUUUAUCACUUUGAUCAAGAAUUCAUCAUGAGUUUGAAGCUUGUUUACCUUGGAAGCCCUAAUUCAUCUAGGUAUCUUGUGUAACUUCCUCAGCAAGUUUCUUCAUCAAAUGGUCAAAUAUUUCAAGGGAUACUUCAUUGCACAUAAUAUUAUACAUAUAUGAUCCUCCAUGAGUCCUAAAGAUCAAGAUAACUUCAAGUUUGCAAGUUGGUUCCAAGAGGUUGACUAGAGAAAGUCAACUAGUCAAAACUGGGGUUCCCUAAACCCUAUCUCCUACAAGUUUUGUCAUAUGAAAAUGAUUACAAGAGAAACAUUACUCUUUAUGACAUUAAAAACAACUUUCAUGUUGACAUCAAGAGCUAGUUUUUCUUGGAAAGUCAUUUUUUAUGAUGAAAGAUUAUAGGUCAUUUUGUAUGUGCCCUAGUUAGGAAGUCAACUUCCAAGGACCAUAACUUGCUCAAUUUUUAUAAUAGGAAGGCCAUAUAAGUUUCAUGAUCAAUUUCAAUAUUUAUUAUUCAACCUUUAUUCUUUGAUGAAUGUCAAAUUCAACUUGCAAGGGCAUGUUCCAAGAGGAAACAUUAUAGGUCAUUUUGGGCUAUUACCAUUGAACAAGCAAUUUUCCUCAACUUCUAAAAUGCAUAACUCCCUCAUGCCAAAUCCAAAUGAUGUCAAAUGUGUGACCAAAUUGAAUAGGGGUUAAAUAGCUACAACUUUGAUGAAAAAACCAUUUUCAUUUGAAGCUCAUAGCAAACGUUAUUCAAGGUGGAAGAAGUGGUCAUUUGACUUUGUACUUAGAAAAUUUUCAACUAUGUUUGAUUUCUCCAACUUCCACCUCAAACUUCAUCACGAUCUAAUAUUCAAACGGAGAAGUGUUCAGCAUCAAAGUUGUUCCCCUUGAUGUCACCUUUCCAAAAAGUCCAAGAUCACUUCAUUUGGACAAGAAUUAAGGGACUUGUGUAUGGUUCCUUUGUUGGGUUUGUUUUGGCAAGUUUCGGAUUCAAGUGAUCAUUUAUACUUGCAUGCUUACAUGUGAUGAUUUUAGUACUCAUUAUGCAUGAAUUAGAGGGGGAUUGCAUCAUGGUUUGGGCCCAAAUCAAUUCCCAUGCAUCCAUGCACCAAUGUUAUUAUUUUUGGUCAAAUUUGAAAGAGGUGCAAAACUGAAUUCCAUAGCCUAUAUAUACCAAUGCAUUGCCUCAGAACUUCACACACACCUUGCCCAAGCCUUGCCAAGUGAUCCCAAAAUCCUACACCAUAGAAUUCCUUGAAGAUUUCUUUGAAAUCGAGUUUGAAUUUCACCUUCUAUUUUGAGAUUCAAACUCCAAGGAUUCAUUGCCUUUUUCAUCUCAAUUGGUCACUGCAAGCAAGAGGAGGAAGAACCAAGUGAAUUCUGAUCAAGACCAAGCCAAAUCAUAGCAACCUGAAGGUAAAUUUUCAGAAACUUUGAGCUUUCGAUUCUCUCUCAAUUCUUCAACAUUCUCUUUGAUUAUUGGUUUUAUGAAGUCCUACCAAUGUAGGCAACAAAAUUGAGUUGCUUUGAGGUCAAAUCGAAGCAACUCAGAUCAUGCACCUCAAAUUUCAAAUCUGUGUAUCUUUCAAUAUACUUUGAAUUGGAAGAAAUGGAUGCCAGAUUCGAGCUCCUGAGCAUUUUUACUUUAAAAUCAUGUCCUUGCUUUUUAUUUUGGUGGUGGUUGAUGGUGGACUAGUCCGGUGAGGUCCACCGGAGAAGAUGACCGGAGCUAGGGCUUCGGCGAUGCGUUGGCACAGUCCAAGCCAUCUGAUCUGGUUCCCAUGUUCUAAUCUCAACCUUUGAUUUGAAUUACCAUGCGUGUGCACGUGUUAGCUAAGAUGUUUGGUGGAAGCGCGCACUUGGCCAUCAAAUCUGCCACCUCAAUUAAUGAGGGAGAUCUGAUGGCCCUUGUUUUAUCUCAUUUUAUUUUAAUUUCUGAAUUUUCAUUUAAUCCUUUUAUUUUGUUUAAUUCCUAGUAAUUUCAUUUUUAAUCCAAAAAAUAUGGGACUUUCACCAAAAAUCUUUAAAUAUUUUUCUCUUCCAUAUUUUGAAUUAAAAUGAUUUUUUGGAUUACUUUUGGUAUUUUUGAUGAAUUAAAUUUUUGAGUGCAUAUUUUUAAUUGUUUUAAAAUACUUUUGACUUUCCAAAAAUCAUGAAAUUUUUUGUCUAAGGUCCUUUGACCUUGUUUGACCUAGGAUAAAUCCCUUGGCCAUUUAUUUGGUGUUUUGAAGGGAAUUGACGUUUUGUCCAAAUUAAAAUUCAUUUUAAUUCACUUUUAAUUUGAUUUUUUAGUUAAAUGUUUAAAAAUUAUGUUGAGCCAUUUUUAUGGUCUUGUGAUGUUUGACUUUCUAUUUGGGUCUUGGUCAUGGUUGAUUUGACUUUUGUUUGAUCAAAACCAUUGGAUUUAGAGGAUUGAUGAAAUAUACAUUUCAUCUCCCAAAAUGAAUGGAUGAUAUUGAUCAAAUGAACUUCCUCUCAUGAUCAAUUUGUAUUUCUAUUUCCCCUUCCCUCUUCAUCUUCAUCCCUAUUAUUCCCCAUUCCCUCAUUUGACCAAUGAUUUCUCUAAUGUAUAAAUACUAAUUGAUUUAUCAAUGACCUUGUGUCAGAUGAAUCAAUACAAGUCUAACUGAGAUAGGUCCCUCCCAUUUUCUUUUAGUGUGUGGUAUGUUUUAGGAGUUUGGUUCUUUAUACCAAAUCUCUAACAAGAAUUAACACCUAUAUUUUUAUUGUCGGACUCAGAUAGUUGUGACUUCUACAUAAGUCCAAUUACGAUUGCUUAACAUAGAGCUAAAUUUGACCCUCAAGGCAUAAUAUUCUAGUAAGUGAGAUUGUAAGUCUCCCAUUAUUUAUGGAAUUGUGUGAAAACUUGACCUUUUUUUUCCUUUCAUGAGAGUUGAUGGCAUACUUGUUGAAUUAUCCAAGUUAGAGCCCUUCUCAUGGAAGAUGUCUUGGUUUAAGGAUUCAUACUUGUGAAUGAAUGGUUGAGUAUUCUCCAAAAAAUGACUUAAUCAAUUAAAACUCAUCACUAACAUUUGACUAACCAUUGACUAACUUCUUAAUUAAUAUUUCUUUACUUUUAAGUCAUUUACUUUAUGCACUUUAAAUUUCAAGUACCUUUAUCAUUCAUUGUCAUUUACGUUUCAUGCAACUUGUUUAUGUUUCAAGUCCUUUUCACUUUGCUCAUUUGAGCCAUAUCUUGUGAUUAUGUAUAUUGUUUGUUUGUCUUUUGUUUUGUUUGUGGUCUUAGGACCUUAAAACAUUUAAUAACAACAAAAACCCUAAAAAAACAUUUGAUGGACUGUUGGAUUUCAUCUGAACUUCUAGACUUAGAACUAGGCAACAUUCCCUAUGCUAAAGGACUUAGCCAAUGCCAACAUUUGAGACUGAGCUAUCUUUGACUAUGUCUUUCAUUCGAUGCAAGACUUUGAGUGCCCUUGAUUCAUCUUCUACUCUGUCUUUGUGCUUAAUUGCUUAUUUUGUUAUUAUUGUCUAUGUUUGAUGUUUUGUUCUGAGUUGAUCAAAGAAUACUUCAUUAGCUACAUUGGAAGAUACUGAAGAAUGCUAGCUAUUGGAAUGCUUGCUUGGAUUAUGGAUAUCUUUAUUUGAUUCCUAGAUGUUAUAUGAUGCUUGGAUAUUUCUUGUUGCUUAUCAAAGUCCAAGGGAAAAUGGGUUUCUAUAUGACAUUCUUAUCUGUUGGAUUGCAUCCCAUUGGUCAGAUCUUUUCAACUCUUAAAAUUUUAAUUUCUUGCUUAGGGUAGUCUUUUCAUCUCCUCCCACUUCUUUAAUUUCAAAAUCUCUCCCCCUUUUCAAAAACUUUCUUUACUUGUGAUUUCAAAAUUAGAAAUGCUUUAAUGAUUAUAAACUUUGGCCUUAUGCCAUUGAACUUUUUAAAUUUUCCCUUCAAUCAAACUUGUAAAUAAACUUAACUAUAUUGACUUUAAUUUCAAAAAGACAAAAAGAACUAACAACCCCAUUCAAAUAUUUGGCCUUUUGUGCCUUUUCUUAUUAAACUUUUUUUGUUAAAAAUCGAUCACUAAUUCCUUUGAAAUUUUUACCACGAACUACGAGGUUUUGAUCCCUCAUUUUUAUGUUGGUAUGUAGGCAUAAGACUGAAGGUCUUGUCAAACACAAAAAUUUCUCAUCCUCACACUCUAUAUUUUAUCAAACAUAUUUUAUACCCAAAAAUAUAUGCACACAAAAAGGGCUCCCUAGGACACUUUGGGUGCUAACACAUUCCCUCUGUGUAACCAACCCCCUUACCUGUAAUCUCUGGCAUUUUAUUAUUUUUUAUUUUAAAACUUCUUAUCUUUGGGUUUUGUGCGUACUUUUCCCUUUUCCUUUGGAAACAAUAAAAGUGCGGUGGCGUCUCUGGUUUUACUGACGUCAAGUUCAUCCAUAGCUUGAUGGUCACGAAUUUACCGCUACACCUGACACUUGACUUUCCCCCUUAAAAUAUCUAAUGAUUCAAACAAGUUAGAUCUAGUUGCUAUGAGGGAUAAAAAGGGUAGUUAGGACACCAUUGUCCUCUCAACUCCCAAGUACUCUGAUUGUCAACCGUACUUAGUCAAGGGUCAUAUACUUGUCUCCCUCUAAGUUGCAAUGAUUAGAAUUGCCAAACUCUUUUUCACAAUUCAAGUCUCUUUUUUUGGAUGAAAAUGAGUGGUUAGGAUAACAUUAUCCUCUCAACUCCCGAGUUCUUGGAUUGUUGACUGUAUUUAGCCAAGGGUCUGAUGCUUGUCUCCGUACAUAAAAUCAACCCCAACAAAUCAAAUCAUCUUUUGCCUCAAUGCACAUCUCUUCAAACCUUUCAAAAGGACGUGUUACUUUCAUUCUACCGUGAAUGAUACUUAAGCCUCUAUGUGCGAGCAAGUAAUGUUUAACUCCAAGAGUGUGAUCCACGCGUAUCCAUUUUAUCGCAAACAAGGAAAUACUUUCCGCUCCCAUGACAGAGUAUGCAAGCAAGUGAACAGUAGCAUACAAAUGUCAAUAUUGUUCAGUAAAAACAAUCAAACAAAUGUUCUGUUUGUGAGUCGAACUACGGAGCUCUGAUUUCCUCAUUGCACGUAUGAGGAUAUGUAGGCACAAGGGCCUAAAUCCUUGGAGAGCACAUUAAAUUAAAAUUUAUUCUCUCUCCCACCUUAUUCUUUCAUCUCAUUCCCAAUAGCAAACAGCAUACAGAUAAAUAACAUCCAUACACAUUUGAUAUGAGCAAGUGGUUCCCAUGGAGUACCAUGGAUGUGAAGGGUGCUAAUACCUUCCCCUUACAUAACUGACUUAUGAAUCUGCUCUUGGUUGCGAGACCAUUCUCUCAUUUGGGGUUUUAUCUCUAUUCUCCCUUUCCUUUGGAAUAAAUAAAAUCUGGUGGCGACUUUGUAUUUUUCGCGGCGCGACAGGGAUGAACUUUAAAUUUGGUUUGGUGAAAUUCGACCAUCAUCAUCUAAAAGCCAAAGGUAUAUCCUAGUUGGCAUAUAUUAUUUUACUAAAUAGAUAGAAGUGAUACCACUAGUCAAUGUCGACCAAGAGGCGGUGAUAGAUUUUAUCCAAAGCCAUAUUAUUCACAGAUUUGGAAUUCCUGAGAUCAUAACAACUGACCAGAGGUUAGUAUUAACUGGUAAAAAGAUGCACAAUAAGGUCAAUAAUGGUCUAAUAAAAAAAACAUGUUGGUAAAAAGCCAAAGAAUUGGCAAAAUACAUUAGACCAGGUGUUAUGGGUGUGUCAAACAUCCCCUAAAGAGGCAAACAAUUCCACUUUGUUUUGACUAACAUAUGGGCACGACGCUUUCCUUCCUGUCAAAAUAUAUUUACAGUCGACUAGAAUUCAAAGACAAGAUGAAAUGCCAUCCGAACAUUAUUGAAACAUGAUGUUAGAUGAACUAGUCGAUUUAGAUGAAGAAAUAUUAUCUAUUUUAGAUGUGUUAAUAAGAUGGAAGGAGCGAGUUGCUAAGGCGUAUAAUAAGAAAGUUAAGACAAAAACUUUAUCGCUAGAAGAUCGUGUAUGGAAAUUCAUUUUUUCCAUGGAUAAAAAAGACAAAACCUUAGGCAAAUGGUCACCCAAUGGGAGGGUUCAUUUCAUAUCCUUCAAGCCUUUUUGAAUAACGCUUACGAAAUCUAAGAAUCAUCACCUAAUCAUCGAAUCCUAAGAGUAAAUGGUAAAUAUUUGAAAAGAUAUACACCUAUACUUAAGGAAAAUUAAGAUUCAACGAAAUAGUGUUGCACCAUGAAAAAUACAUGAGCGCAUUAUACACUCAAAAUACAACUGAAUCACCAUUGAAUUUUAUUUAUUCUAAGAGAAAGGAAAAAUAUCAAUAAAACCCAAAGGGAAGAGAAAAGGGUAAGGAAGUUGAUCAGUGCGUUUUCAUGCAUAUUCUUUCACUAUUAUGUUGCAACAAUUUUAGAGUGUCUUUUGUUACUUUUACUAUUUUAGUGUGUUUCCUUAGAUUAGCUUAUUGUUACAUUUAUUUUAAUUUCGUAUGGUAUUUUAUGAAUAAACAACUACUUACACCCUCUUGCUUCACAUGUCAUAACUUGGGCUACGAGAAUCGGAUCAAUGCGUUCUAAUAGGCACUGGAAAGUUAAGAGGAUAAGAUAAAUACUUUAUGUUGAAUCCAGAAGAAACUUUGGAGUUUAGAAGAGUCGAAUAAAUAGUUUAAAUUUCAUACUUUUAGAAAUUAAUUAUUGUUGGGCCAAUUUUGGGCCGUUUUUUAUGUUUUCCGUCCCGGUUGGGAGUAGAACCUAAUUCCUUAUUUCCUUAUAUCUAGUAGCAGCCGUGAUAUUGUUCAUCUAAUUAUUCAAUAUUCACGAUUUGAUGGAGACUAAUCCUUACGGUUAAUCUGCUAAAUCGUGUUUCCAUAAGGCUUCGAGGCUUUUACUUUUAUCAAUUCAAUUUCGUUUCUCUUUCAAUUUUGUUCUUUGAAAUUCAAUUGCUUAAUUUUUUAUUUCAUGGAAUAGUUUUAAUUGAUUUUGUUUGAUUGCAUCCUAACUAAAAUCUCUUUUGAUGUAGCUUUGUCAUUAAAUUGUGUAUGUUAAAAUCAUGUUUGCUUAAUUCAUGAUUGUUGUAAUCCAUUUAUGCUUGUCAAUCACUAUAGUGAUCGAUAGAGAUGGAAGCCGCAUAGGGAACCGAAACAUAAAUUAACUAGUUCAUAAAAUUUUGUUCAUAGAUUAACUAGUUCAUAAAAUUUUGCUAAUCAUUUACUUUCAUCUUAAUCGAAACUUAUAAAACCUCCAUUAUUUUUGUCAGUUGGUAAAAACCAAUACAAGAGUCCUUACGAUACAACUCUUUAGUGUCGCUUCCCUAAACUAUAGUUUUUAAUUACUCGUGUGCGACAGCGGAUUAGAAGUCGGUUAUGCAAGGGGAAUGUAUUAGCAUCUCUCAUAUUUGUUCUACUCAACGGGAACCAUUUUGAUUGUUCUUUGUGCAUAUGAGUAUUAUUAUCCAAAGAUUACUUGCGGUUGGUUUUAAUUAAGAGAAAAAUAAGUUUUUAAUUAAUGUGCUCGCCAAGAUUUUGAAACCUUGUGCUUACGUAUUCUCAUGGUGCAAUGAGAAAAUCAGAGCUUAGUAGUUCAUGGAGUAGAAAAUAAGUGGUUGUUGUAAGAUUUUAGGGAAAAAUGUUAUAAUCAUAUCCUAGAAGUGUUUUGACGUUAGUUGUUUGAUCCUGGUUUGGAUGCUUUAUGUUGUUAGCCUAACUGCUAAGGAAUAGAUUAUAACAAUUCUUUUAUGAAAAGAAAUUGAUGUGGUAUUUGAAAAAUUGUAAGGGUGGUGUCUGAACCAAGGACAAAAAUUAAAAGUUGUGUCUGAAAUAAGAACUAAAAUUGAAAGUGGUGUCUUAACCAAAUACUUAAAUUGAAAGAGUGGUGUCUGAACAAAGAACUAAAAUAAAAAGUGGUGUCAUAACCAAGAGUAGGAAAUAAAGGUGGUGUCAAAAUCAAGAGCAGGAAAUAAAAGUGGUGUCAUAACCAAGAGCGGGAUAUAAAAGUGGUGUCUUAACCAAGAAAGAAAGAAUUGUAAAAGUUUUCCUAAACCAAAGGAUUAAUAAGGUAAACAAGAAGAGUAUAGGUGCCAAAACCAAGAGGAGUUGUAUUGGAAUCAAUAGUGAAUAAUUGUGGAAUGUUUUUUAGAUUGGUUAUAAUUGGUUUUAGUUUGAAGAAGAAUAUUCAUACAGGGAGCUUUAUAGAAGUGUAUGAAUCAUUCAAGGAGAGAGAGUCUACACCCUAUAAGACCCUAAUUUUGACCCUAAGAUCCCUCAUGCUAUCUCAUCAUAUGCAUUGGCUUUGGGAUCACACCCGACAUCCUCCUAAUCCCUCAUUCAUUGGGUUUGCAUUGGGAGAGAUCACCAAGAACAUUUGAUUGUAUCAUACUUUCUUUUUCCUUGUUUACCAAUCCAAAUACCAAAAAUAUGUCAAUGUAUAGUUUACUUCUUUUGUAGGUAGUGUAUGUCUUCACCAAAGCCUCAUCAAGCUCAUAUCUAGGGUUUAAGACCCUCAGUGCAAGGAGACUAAUCAAGAUAUGGUUCACAUUGACUCUAGACAUCAUAUAUGGAUCCCCAUGAUCUUCAUUUAUCAUUUUGAUCAAGAAUUUAUCAACACUUUGAAGCUUGUUUGCCUUGGAAACCGUAAUUCAUCUGGGUAUCUUGUGUGACUUCCUCAGCAAGUUUCUUCAUCAUUUGAUCAAAUAUUUCAAGGGAUACUUCAUAUUACAUCAUAUUAUACAUAUGUGAUCCUCCAUGAGUCCAAGAGAUCAAGAGAAUUUCAAGUUUUUAAGUUGGUUCAUGGUGGUUGACCAGAGAAAGUCAACUGGUAAAAUCUGGGGUUCACUAGACCCUAUCUCCUACAAUGUUUGUCAUAUGAAAAUGUUUCCAAGAGAAAAGUUACUCCUUACGACAUUCCAAACAACUUUAAUGUUUAAGUUAAGAGCUAUGUUUUCUUGGAAAGUCAUUUUUUAUGAUGAAAGAUUAUAGGUCAUUUUGUUUAAACCCUAGUUAGGAGAUCAAUUUCCAAUGACCAUAACUUGCUCAAUUUGUAUGAGAUGAAAUCCGUUCAAGUUUCAUGAUUAAAUUCAAGGUAUCCUCUCCAACUUUGAUUUUGGAAGAAAUUGAAAUUCAACUUGCAAGGGCAUGUGCCAAGAGGAAACAUUAUAGGUCAUUUUGGGUAAUUAUCAUUGAACAAGUGAUUUUCCUCAACUUAUUAAAUGCAUAACUCCUACAUGCCAAAUUCAAAUGAGGUCAAAUUUGUAACCAAAUUGAAUAGGUUUGAAAGAACUACAAAUUUGAUGAGGGAACGUUUUCCAUUUGAAACACAUAGCAAAAGUUAUUCAAGGUGGAAGAAGUGAACAUUUGACUUAAUACAUAGAAAAUUUUCAAAUAUGUUUGAUUUUCGAAACUUUCACCUCAAAAUCCAUCAUGAUCCGAGCUUCAAAUGGAAAAGUGUUCUACAUGAAAGUUUUUUCCCUUGAUCUCACCUUUCCAAAAAGUUCAAUAUAAUAUCAUUUGGCCAAGAAUUGGAGGACUUGCACAUGGUUUCUUCACAAGGCUUCAUUUGGAUGAAAUUCAUGAUCACAUUCCAAUUACCAUUGCAUGAUCACAUGGCACACUUUCAGCAAUGCACAUGAGGAAUUUUGGAACUGAUUGCAUCAUUUCAGGGACCUAUCACACGCCCAUGCAAGCAUGCAAGAGAGAUUGCUAUUUUUGGCCAAUUUUUGAAAUAUGUAGAAAGCAAUUGCCUUGCCUAUAAAUGAGACCCUCAUCGAUCAUAAUUAAGGACACCUUGCCCAAGCUUUGAACCUGCAAUCCAAACCCUCACCAUUAGAGGAUAAUCUUGAAGGUUUUCAUUUGAAAAUCGAGUUUCAAAUCUCCUUCUGUUUUGAGAUUGAAACUCCAAAGCAAUCCAAACCCUCACCAUUAGAGGAUAAUCUUGAAGGUUUUCAUUUGAAAAUCGAGUUUCAAAUCUCCUUCUGUUUUGAGAUUGAAACUCCAAGAAUCCAAGCCUUUCCUUGAUCCAAUUCAACUUUCUACAAGCUUCUGAAGUCAAGCCAAGGCCAAUUGAAAGCAAUAUCAAGCAAGUUUCAAGCUCCCUCGAAGGUGAUUUUCUAGAAUUUUCAUCUCUUCGAUUCUCUCUCAAUUCUUCACCAUUCUUUGUGAUUUUUGGUUGGCUAAAGUCCUACCAAUGUAGGCAACAAGAUUGUGUUGCUUUGAGGUCAAAUCGAAGCAACUCAAUUCAUGAUCCUUAAAAUUCAAAUCCCUGUAUCUUUUUAUAUACUCGGAAUUGGAGAAAAUUGAGACCAGAUUCGUGAUCCUGAGCAUUUUCUCUUUGAAUUAGUGUCCUUGUUUUUUCAUUUUCCAUUGAGAUGAAGUUGGACCAGUCCGGUGGGGGUCACCUAAGAAGAUGACCGGAGCCCUAGCUCCGGUGGUGUGUUGUCGCACUUCCUGGCCAUCUGAUCAUGUUUGAAUGUUCUAAUUUGGACCUUUGAUUUGCAUUACCACACGUACAACACGUUGACUUGAGCCCACCAUGAAACGCAUGUGUGUCACCAUCAGAUCUGCCACCUUAAUUAAUGAGGGAGAUCUGAUGGCCCUUAUUUUUUCUUAUUUUAUUUUAAUUUUUGAUUUUAUAUUUAAUCCUUUUAUUUUGUUUAAUUCAUAUUAAUUUCAUUUUUUAUCCAAAAAAAAUAUGGGACUUUCACCAAAAAUAUUUAAAUAUUUUUCUCUUUCUUAUUCUGAAUUAAAAUUAUUUUUUGGAUUAAUUUUGAUAUUUUUCAUGAAUUAAAUGUUUUUAUGCAUAUUUUUAAUUGUUUAAAAUUACUUCCGACUUUUGAAAAAUCAUGAAACUUUUUGUCUAAGGUCCUUUGACCUUGUGUGACCUAGGAUAAAUCUCUUGGCUAUUUAUUUGGUGUUUUGAAGAGAUUUUAGGUUUUUACCAAAUUAAAAUGUAUUUUAAUUCAUUUUUAAUUGAAUUUUUAAUUGAUUAAAUGUGUAAAAAUUGUGUUGAGCUAUUUUUAUGGUCUUGUGAUGUUUGACAUUCUGUUUCGGCCUUGGUCAAGGUUGAUUUGACUUUUGUUGGAUCAAAACCAUUGGAUUUGGGGAUUGAUGAAAUGUAUAUUUCAUCUCCCAAAAUGAAUUGAUGGUUUUGAUUCGAUGAAAAUCCUUCCUUUGUCAAUUUGUGUUUCUAUCUUCCCCUCCCUCUUCAUCUUCAUCCACAUUCUUUCUCAUUCCGUCAUUUGACCAAUGAAAUAUCUAAUGUCUAAAGGCUAAUUGGUUCACCAAUGACCUUGUGUUAGAUGAACCAAUACAAGUAUGACUGAGAUAGGUUCAUCCCUCUUAAUCUUUUCUUUUAAUGUAUGGUAUGUUUUAGGAGUUUGGUUCUUCAUAUCAAAUCUCUAACAUGCAUUAACACCUAAAAAUGUAUUGCCCGGCCUCAGAGUUGUGACUUCUACAUAAGUCCAAUUACGAUUACUUAACAUAUAGCUAAAUUUGACCCUAAAGGCAUAGCAUUCUAGUAAGUGAGAUUGUAAGUCUCCCAUUCUUCAUGGUAUUAUAUGGAAACUUUACCCUUUUUCCUUUCAUGAGAGCUAGUGGCAUACUUGUUAAAUUAUCCAUGUUGGAGCCCUUCUCAUGAAAGAUGUCUUGGUUUAAGGAUUCAUACUUGUGAAAGACUGGUUGAGUGUUCUCCAAAGAAUGACCUAAUCAAUUAAAGAAAACCACCACUAACACUUGACUAACCUUUGGCUAACAUUUGACUAAUUCUUAUUAAUAUUGCUUUACUUUCAAGUCAUUUACUUUAUGCAAUUUAAAUUUCAGUCACUUAUCAUUCAUGCUUGGAUGUGGCUAUCUUUAUUUGAUGCCUUGAUCUUCAUAAUGUCUGGAUAUUACUAAUUUCUAUUUGAUUAUUGCUUGAUUCAAAGUCCAAAGGGAAAAUGGAUUUUCUACAUGACAUUCUUGUCUGUUGGAUUGCAUCCCAUUGGUCAGAUCUUUUCAACUCUUAACUUUUAAUUUUAUGCUUAGGGUAGUCUCUUCAUCUCCUCCCACUUCUAAAAUUUCAAAUCUCUUCCCCUUUUUAAAAACUUUAUUUUCUUGUAAUUUUAAACUUAGACUUUAUUUUAACGAUUAGAAACUUUGGCCUUAUGCCAAUGAAUUUUUAAAUCUUUUCUUAAUCAAUUUCGUAAAUAAACUUAAUCUUAUUGACUUAAAAAUUUCAAAAAGACAAAAAGAACUAACAACUUCAUUCAAACUUUUGGGCCUUUUGUGCCUUUUUCUUAUUUAAACCCUUUUUUUAAAAGCAAUUCACUAACUUUGAAAUUUUUACCACGAACUACGAGGUUUUGAUCCCUCAGUUUUAUGUUGGUAGGAAGACACAAGUCCGAAGGUAUUGUCAAACACAAAAAAUAUAAUUAAUGAAUCUCAUCUCUCCAUUCUAUAUUUUAUCAAACAUUUUUUAUACCAAACACACAUGCGCACAUAAAAAAGGUCUCCCUAGGAGUACCUAGGUCACUUUGGGUGAUAACACCUUCCCUCUGUGUAACCAACCCGCUUACCUAUAAUCUCUGGCAUUUUAUUAGUUUUGAUUUAAAAACUUCUUAUCUCUGGGUUUUGUUCGUACUUUUCCCUUUUCCUCUGGAAGCAAUAAAAGCGCGGUGACGACUCUGAAUUUAUUGACGUUAAGCUUAUCCAUAGCUUGAUGAUCAUUAAUUUACCGCUAUAGAAAUUAAAUGGGAACUCUGCUGGGGACUAGUCCUCAGUGGGUUUAGCCUACUUUUUUAUGUGCAUAUAUUUGUAUAUUUGAUGUUUGUAUAUUUGUGUAUGAUAUAAUUUGUCUGUUGUGCUUGGUAAUCUCUGAGUGGUGAGAUAAGUUCUAACCUGAACUUGAGUGCAAUUAAGAUAGAAGGAUGGUAUAGUAAUGUUCAACUUGUGUGGAGUAGUCUUUAACAAGUUGGCUUGAGACCUAUCUACUCAGUGGAGAGCCUUUUUGAGUUACUAAUGUCACAUAAGUUAUUUGUGGUUAGGCAUUACUUUCUCUGAUUUGGGGUCUGAGAAGCUGAGGACCAUAGAACAUUUAACCCAACUUGAUCUAUUUAGGACGUAGCGUGGAGACUGUUCAGGUGUAGACCUGAUAACCGUUGUUAUGCGAUACUACACUCAGAUAAGUUUCUCUUGAGAAUAUUAUGGGUUGAUAAGUCAGUCAUCCUAACCUAUAAUAUCUGAUAUAUGGGAUUAAGACUCUGGGAACUUUUUAGAACAUGAUCUACAGGUUCUUAUCCUUAGUAUAAUCCUUUGGGAUGGUUCUUAACCUGACUCCAUGCUCGUGACUCACAACAAACCCUUUGAUUCUUGGUUGAUCUUAUCAACUAUCAUCAAUAUCAAUGGAACUUGAGUGUGGAUAAGGUGAAAACUGUAAUCCACCAAAAUGGAUGAUUGAUCUUGAUGAUGACUUGAUCCAUUCCCUGACCUUUGUUUGUGAUUGCCUUGUGUGUGAUUGUUGCAUUCAUGCAUACAUGUGCAUCAUAACAUUCAUCACAGAAAAAUAAAUUUCAAGGGAACUGAGGUCUUGUUUGCAAAUAUUUUCAGACCAUGGACUGUGGACGAAGGAAUACUAAGAACUACAGUUCCAGAUGUCUUGAUUUGAAAGAGAUAAGGAAGUUGUCAUAUUUUGUAUUAGAUCCCUUGGACUUCAAGCAACAUCAUGGGAAGAUCUUGUCUGUGUUACCUGCUGAUGUGGUUGUAAAACUUCUGAGCGUUUUGGUUCAGUUCUAUGAUCCUCUCUACUGGUGCUUCACUUUUCCCGAUUAUCAGCUUGUGCCUACAUUAGAGGAGUAUGCCCAUAUCUUGGGAAUACAUGUAUCUGACAAGGUACCUUUUAGUGGAUUGGAGGAGAUUCCCAGAUCUCAUAUUAUAGCUGAAGCUCUUCAUUUGAAGAAAUCUGAGAUUGAUGCUCACUUGGUGAAGAAAUGAGGUAUUCUUGGGUUGACUUCUGAGUUCCUCAUUGUUAAAACUAUUAUCUUUUCACAAGCCGAUAGUAUGGAUGCUUUUUAAGCCAUCUUUGCGUUACUCAUCUAUGGUCUAGCUUUGUUCCCUAACAUUGACAGUUUUGUUGAUGUUAACGCCAUUAGAAUCUUCUUGAUCGGGAAUCCUGUUCCUAUUCUAUUCGGUGACAUGUAUUUCUCUUUGCACUUGAGGAAUUCUAAAGGUGGUGGGACUAUUGUGUGUUGUGUUCCUCUUUUGUACAAGUGGUUUAUUUCACACUUGCCUCAUACACCUGCUUUCUUGGAGAACAAACAAUGUCUACGGUGGUCUCAAAGACUUAUAUGUCUCACUAAUGAUGAUAUAGUUUGGUAUGACUCUGCACUGAGUAGCUUGGAUAUUAUUGAUAGUUGUGGUGAGUUCUCUAAUGUGCCUCUCAUUGGUACACGAGGAGGAAUUAACUACUACCCUGUUUUGGCUCGUCGUCAACUUGGGUUCCCCUUGAGAGGUGAACCUAAUAACACUCAGUUAGAAGGUCUUUUCUAUCAAGAUGGUAAAGAUCCCCAACAUUUGAAGCAGAGGAUGGUGCAUGCUUGGCAUAAUGUGCAUAGGAAAGGAAGAUCCGAGCUUGGUCUAUGCAACUGUGUAGCUUUGGAAGCUUACACUAUUUGGAUGAAGAAGAGAGCUUUAGAGCUAAAGAUGAUGUAUGCUUGUGAAGGACCUAUGUCUUUGGUUGUGGCUAAGCCAUUAACUCUCCCUAACCAAGAUGUAGAGGAGUUGAAAGACGCACUUGCCAAGAUGAAGCAAGAGAGAGACAUGUGGGAAGAGAGGUUCCAUGCUUUGAGCUGAAAGCAUGAAGAGUUGUAGCUUGAUUCAAAAGACAAGGAUGCGCUUAUUGAGAUUCUUGAAGACCGAGCAGUGAAGAGACAGAGAGAGCUAGAGGGUCUAUCUUCCUCUAGCAUGCCUCAACCUUCUGGUGCUUGGAAGAAGAUUGUUGAUCAACUAGUUCUUGAGAAGGCUCAUGUGAAGACAUCCUUUGAGUCUGAGAUUUGAUGCGUCCGAAGGAAGUAUGCACCCACAGCCAGAUCAUCUGACCCAGUUGCUAAGGGAUCCUUAGGAUGAUAGUUUCCUUUUCUCUUAUAUUUGUACUUUGGUCUCUGAACUUGUACUCAGUAUAAUCCUUCCAAAUUUUAUGAAUGAAAAGAGAUUAUUAUGGUCAAUCAAAUUGUUUUUAUUAUAUAUAUUGCAAAUAGAACUUCAUAUGUUCCUUGAAAUUAAAAAAAACAAAAAAAAACAUUGUAUUUCAUGCAUCAUUUGCAUAGCAGGUUUUCUUCCUCCAGAUGUCUUAUCAGUUCUUCUUCUGUGCAUCAGCCAAGCUGACUCACCGCUAUAACACUCGUGCUAAUCAACCAAGGACCAUGGAGCAUUUAGAGUAAGAGAACCGAGAGCUGAAGGAUGAGAUUUUUAGAUUAACGGUGCUGAUGGAAUCUGUCAUUCCUGCACAGGACCAGUCUUCACCAACUCCUGCAACUCCUCCCUAGAGGUCUGUCAUUUCCAAGGUUGCUACCUCAAUUGUUCCCAUUGUUGUUGCCAAACAAUCCGGUCCUUCUAUGCCUGCUGGAUUCCCUUGGGGGAUGUCAUCCAACUUUAUGUAAGAAGGGUAUGCACCCAUAUUUGUUUCUCUACCGACAUCUAGCCCGAUCAUGUCAGUGUCACCUCCUGUUGUUCACGCUCAGCCUUGUGUUGAGGAUACUAUCUACCACUCUGAGUUGUAUGAGGGUCCAGACGUGUACGAGAAAAUAGACGAGAUGAAAGAUCAGUUCCUCGAGAUGCGCAAAGAGUUGAAGACUUUAAGAGGAAAAGAUUUGUUUGGGAAGAGUGUUGUUGAGCUCUGCCUGGUCCCCAAUGUUAAAAUCCCGAUGAAGUUCAAGGUCCCUGACUUUGAAAAGUAUAAAGGCAAUACUUGUUCGUUGAGUCAUCUUGUUAUGUAUGCCAGAAAAAUGUCUACUCAGACUGAUAAUGAUCUGUUGCUGAUUCACUAUUUCCAAGACAGAUUGACUAGAGCUGCUUUGAUAUGGUAUAUAGGUUUGGACAGUGCAAGCAUCCGUACUUUCAAAGACUUAGGCGAGGCCUUAGUCAAGCAGUAUAAGUACAACAUGGAUAUGGCGCCUGAUAAAGACCAGUUGAGGUUUAUGUCCCAGAAAGAUAAGGAGACAUUUAAAGAGUAUGCCCAGAUAUGGAGAGAGUUGGCGGCCCAGAUUAGUCCACCCUUGGAAGAGAAAGAGAUGACGAAGAUAUUCCUGAAGACGGUACGUUCGUAAUAAUACGAACGUAUGAUUGCAAGUGCCCCCAAUGAUUUUAUCGAAAUGGUAAACAUGGGGAUGAGGCUAGAGGAAGGAGUCCGUGAAGGACGUCUGUCUAAGGAAGAAGCAUCGUCCAACAAGAAAUAUGGUGGGAGUUUCUCCAAGAGGAAGGAAGGAGAAACUAAUUCAGUAUCUAUGGGAAGGCAGAGGAGGCCUCAUGUCAGAAAAAGUUCUCAACCUCGUCAACAUCAACAACAAGUUUCAUCAGCGAUUCCUGUAUUUUCCAACAAUUCCAACAAUCAAUCAGUCUCGAUUUAGCAACAACAACGUCAAUAAUAACCGCAACAAAGAACCAACAACAACAACAACAACAACAACAAUCACCAACAAAGCUUUGAGAGGAAUAAGGUAUCCUUUGACCCUAUUCCUAUGUCGUAUGCAGAAUUAUACCCGUCCUUGGUUCUCAAGAACCUCAUUCAACCAAGAAAUCCUCCACAGAUUCCUGAGCCACUUCCAUGGUGGUUCAAACCUGAUUUAUAUUGUGCUUUUCACCAGGGAGCCCCUGGACAUGACAUAGAGAACUUCGAUCCAUUGAAAUAUGAGGUCCAGAAACUCGUGAAGAGUGGUAUGGUGUCCUUUGAGGACAAGCGCCAAACGUGAAAGCUAAUUUGUUGCUUGCUCAUGGUAACACUUCUGUCAACAUGGUGGACGACUGUCCAGGGAAUUUCCGAGUUUUUGAUGUACGUCGUAUCCAAAGAUAUCUAGUGGAGGUGCAUAGAACCUUGUGUUUAAUCAAUGACUAUGAGCACGACCAUGACGGUUGUGUAAUCUGCAAUGUGAACCCCCGUGGGUGUAUGAUUGUCAAGAGAGAUAUCCAGAAGUUGAUGGAUGAGAAUGUAAUUCAGAUUCAACAGUCAAGAGAUAUAGAUAAUAUGAACUUGAUUGUACCAGUGUUUAAAACCCCUGAGCGAGUACUAUUCAGUUUGAUAGAAGCAACGAUAACAAUGUCAAUAGAUCAGUAUCGUCGUUGGUUAUACGGUUAGCGGUCCCUAUUCCGUAUACAUCCGAUAAAGUUGUGCCAUAUCAAUACAAUGCCACAAUGAUUGAGAAUGGUCAAGAGGUUCCUAUACCAAUUGCAGAAUCCGUGGUGAAUAUUGCUGAUAUAGCAAAGUGACCCGUAGUGGUCGUGUGUUUGGUCCAGUUUUUCCAAAAGAAAUAAAAGAAGUUUCCGCAAGUAAGAGGGCAGAGAUUCCGGUGAUGAAUCUGAUUAGUGCUUCAAUGUGUCAGUCUGGUGAAUCCAGUAAAUUGAAUGCUAACGAUGAUGAUGAAGUUUUAAAGUUGAUUAAAAGAAGUGAGUUUUUCAAUGUUGUAGAGCAAUUGCUCCAAACUCUGUCAAAUAUCUUCAUGUUGUCACUUUUGAUGAAUUCUAAAGCGCAUAGGGAGGCGCUGCAGAAAGUUCUAGAGCAAGUUUAUGUUGAGCAUGAUGUGACCGUGGAUCAGUUUGACCACAUCGUUGCCAAUAUUACUUCUUGCAAUAACCUGAGCUUUUAUAAUGAAGAGCUUCCUGAAGAAGGCCGAAAUCACAAUUUGGCGUUGCAUAUUUCAAUGAACUGUAAGGAGGACGCUAUGUCCAAUGUGUUGGUUGACACUAGUUCAUCUUUGAAUGUGCUUCCAAAAUCAAAUUUAUCAAGACUCUCUUAUCAAGGCACCCCAAUGAGGUACAACGGCGUGAUUGUUAAAGCGUUCGACGGUUCUCGUAAAACUGUCAUUGGUGAAGUGGACCUUCCAGUUAAGAUAUGCCCGAGUGAUUUCCAAAUUACUUUCCAGGUAAUGGAUAUCCAUCCGGCCUACAGUUACUUGUUGGGAAGGCCAUGGAUUCAUGAAGCAGGAGCUGUGACGUCUUCUCUACACCAGAAGCUGAAAUUUAUGAAGAAUGGAAAGCUUGUCGUUGUUGGUGGAGAGAAGGCAUUAUUGGUGAGCCAUCUGUCAUCUUUUACAUAUGUUGAAGCUGAGGAGGAGGUUGGAACGCCGUUCCAAGCCUUGUCUAUUGCUGAUGAAAUAAAGAAAACUGGGGCACCCAUGUCUUCUUUGAAAGAUGCACAGGAGACAAUUCUGACUGGCAGCAUUGACAAAUGGAGUCGUAUGGUAGAGAUUUUCGAGAACAAGAAUAUGGCCGGAUUGGGAUUUCAACCAGGGUCGUUCAACAUCAGGACUAAAGUUCUGCAAUCGAGUUUCUGCAAUGGAGGGUUCAUUCAUGGGAAUGAUCAACACUCAGCUGCCGUGAUUGAAGACAGUGAUGAUGAAGAUAAAGUUUGCGUCAAUUUUGUGAUGCAUGGCCAGACUUGCAACAAUUGGGUUGUUGGUGAUGUUCCUACUGUUACUCAUCGCUCUAAGUCAUUUGUUUUCAUUUAUUUUUAAGAUAAAUCCUUCUCCUAUGCCUAAGGGAGAAGUGAACAUUGUUGGGCAUUUUCUGAUUAUCAUAAAUAAAAGAUAAUUUUAUUCAUCCACAUCUAUGAUGUUUUUAUUUUUACCUUUUUGCUUUUUUCUGAAAAUGGUAAUCACAAAAAAACAUAAAUAAAUAAUAAUCUUCCAUCUGCAUAAUAUUUGGUUGCAAUGCAUUUCCCUAAAAUCAAAAUAUCAAAUCAUUAUGCAGGUUGGUUCUCAAACCCAUUGAAUACAAUGAUCCUACUCCCUCUCCAAACUUUGAUUUCCUUGUGUUUGAAGAUGAGGAAGAGAUUGAUGAUGAAGAAACAUCUGAUGAAUUAUCGCGUUUACUUGAGCAUGAGGAAAAAUCCAUUCAUCCGUUUGAAGAGCAAAUUGAAUUAGUCAACUUGGGUUCUGAAGAUGAUGUGAAGGAAGUCAAGAUUGGGUCUCAACUAUGUCUAGGAGUUAAGAAGGGGUUGAUUGAUCUUCUUCGAGAAUAUUCUGAUGUGUUUGCUUGGUCCUAUCAAGAGAUGCCUGGUUUGGAUUCUUAGAUUGUGGAGCAUAGAUUACCGUUGAAGCCAGAAUGUCUGCCGGUCAAGCAGAAGUUGAGGAGAAGUCAUCCUGAUAUAGCAGUUAAGAUCAAAGAAGAAGUGCAGAAGCAGAUUGAUGCUGGUUUUCUUGUGACCUCCGAAUAUCCGCAGUGGGUGGCCAAUAUUGUGCUUGUUCCUAAGAAAGAUGAAAAUUUACGCAUGUGUGUUGAUUAUAGAGAUUUGAAUAAAGCCAAUCCAAAAGAUGAUUUUCCUCUGCCACACAUUUACAUGUUGGUAGACAAUACAGCUAAAUUCAAAGUCUUUUCGUUUAUGGAUGGAUUUUCCGGUUAUAAUCAGAUCAAGAUGACACCUAAAGAUAUGGAGAAGACCAUAUUCAUUACACCCUGGGGAACAUUAUAUUAUAGAGUCAUGCCUUUCGGUUUAAAAAAUGUUGGUGCAACAUACCAGAGAGCUAUGACUACUCUUUUUCAUGACAUGAUGCAUAAAAAGAUUGAAGUCUAUGUUUAUGAUAUGAUUGCCAAAUCGAGUGAUUGAAGUCUAUUCCAGCGUUUGAGGAAGUAUAAACUCCAUUUGAAUCCCAAUAAGUGUACUUUUGGUGUUCGCUCUAGUAAGUUGUUGGGCUUUAUUGUCAGCGAGAAAUGUAUUGAGGUUGAUCCUUCCAAGGUUAAACCAAUACAAGAGAUGCAUGUGCCCAAAACUGAGAAGCAAGUCAGUGGUUUUCUCGGUCGCUUGAACUAUAUCUCAAUAUUUAUAUUGCAUAUGAAUGCCACAUGUGUGCCUAUUUUCAAGCUUCUUCGGAAAGAUCAAUCUUGUGAUUGGACCGAGGAUUUCUAGAAAGCUUUUGACAGUAUCAAAGAAUAUCUGCUUGAGCCACUAACUCUGUCUCCGCCUGUUGAAGGAAGACCGUUGAUCAUGUAUCUGAAUAUGCUUGAUGAGAGUAUGGGUUGUGUUCUUGGUCAGCAAGAUGAAUCUGGAAAGAAAGAAUAUGCAAUCUACUACCUCAAUAAGAAGUUCACCGACUGUGAGACUCGGUAUUCUAUGCUUGAGAAGACAUGAUGCGCAUUGGCUUGGGCUGCUAAGCGUCUGCGCCAGUAUAUGUUAAAUCAUACUACUUGGUUGAUAUCCAAAAUGGAUCUAAUCAAGUAUAUUUUUGAGAAGCCUGCUUUAAUUAGGAGGAUUGCCUGUUGGCAGAUGUUGUUAUCCGAGUAUGAUAUUGAAUAUCGAUCUCAAAAAGCUAUCAAGGGUAGCGUCUUGGCUGACCAUUUGGCUCACCAACCUAUUGAAGACUAUUAGUCAGUGCAGUAUGAUUUUCCUGACGAAGAGAUUUUAUACUUAAAGAUGAAAGAUUGUGGUGAACCAUUGGGGUAGUGAUUAUUACUCCUCAAGGUACUUAUUUUCCGUUUACAUCUAAAUUGACUUUCAAGUGUACAAAUAACAUGGAUGAGUAUGAAGCUUGCAUUAUAGAGCUUGAAAAGGCCAUUGAUCUCAGAAUAAAAUAUAUCGACGUCUAUGGAGAUUCAUCUUUGGUUGUGAAUCAGAUCAAAGGUGAAUGGGAGAAAAAUCAACCCGAUUUAAUACCAUAUAGAGACUAUGCGAAGAGGAUUUCAACUUUCUUUACAAAAGUUGAAUUUCAUCAUAUUCCUCGAGAUAAAAACCGGAUGGCAAAUGCUCUUGCAACGUUGGCUUCCAUGAUUGUGGUGAAAUUUUGGAAUGAAGUUCCCAAUUUGAUUGUGAUGCAUCUUGAUAGGCCAACUCAUGUAUUUGUUGUUGAAGAAUUCAAAGAUGAAAAGCCAUGGUAUUUUGAUAUCAAAUGUUUCCUCCAAAGUCAGAUUUACCCGCCUGGGGCAUCUUUGAAAGAUAAGAAGACUUUGAGAAGAUUAGCUAGCAACUUCUACCUGAAUGGUGAUGUGCUUUACAAGAGAAACUUAGAUAUGGUUUUUCUCAGAUGCGUGGAUACACACGAAGCAAAAUUAUUGAUGACUGAAGUCCAUGAAGGUUCCUUUGGUACCCAUUCCAAUGGACAUGCUAUGGCAAAGAAGUUGUUGAAACAGGUUACUAUUGGCUGACAAUAGAACCUGACUGUUGCAAGUUUGUGAAGAAAUACCACAAGUGUCAAAUUUAUGCAGAUAAGAUUCAUCUUCCUCUGACAUUGUUGAAUGCUAUUUCCUCUCCAUGGCCCUUCUCCAUGUGGGGAAUUGAUAUGAUCGGUAUGAUUGAGCUCAAAGCUUCGAACAUACAUCGUUUUAUUCUGAUGGCUAUUGACUACUUCACAAAGUGGGUUGAAGCAGAGUCGUACGCAAAUGUAACCAAGAAAGUUGUUGUAAGGUUUAUCAAGAAUCAUAUUAUAUGUCGUUAUGGUGUGCCAAGUAAGAUCAUUACUGAUAAUGGAUCGAACUUAAACAAUAAUAUGGUGGAAGCUCUGUGUAAAUACUUCAAGAUUGCACAUCGUAAUUCUUCUCCCUACAAACCUAAGAUGAAUGGGGUUGUUGAAGCUGCAAAUAAGAACAUCAAGAAGAUCAUUCAGAAGAUGGUUAUAAAAUAUAUGGAUUGGCAUGAGAUGCUCCCAUUUGCUUUGCAUGGAUAUCAUACAUCUGUCCGCACUUCAACAGAGGCAAACCCUUUCUCACUUGUUUAUGCCAUGAAAGUUGUGCUCCCCGUGGAGGUUGAGAUCCCAUCAUUGCGUGUUUAGAUGGAAGCCAAGUUGACUGAAGCUGAAUGGUGCCAGACCAGAUAUGAUCAGUUGAAUUUGAUUGAAGAGAAAAGAUUGACUGUCAUGUGUCAUGGCCAGUUAUAUCAGCAAAGAAUGAAGAAGACAUUUGAUAAGAAGGUCAGGCCUCGUGUGUUUAGAGAAGGUGACCUCAUGCUCAAGUAGUGAUUUUGUCUUUCAAACCUAAUGCUAGGGGCAAAUGGACUCCUAAUUAUGAAGGUCCAUAUGUUGUGAAGAUAGCCUUUUCAGGCGGUGCUUUGAUUCUUAUAACCAUGGAUGGUGAAGAGUUCACUCAUCCUGUGAAUGCCGAUGCAGUCAAGAAAUACUUCGCCUAAAAAAGAAAAGAACAGCUCGCUAAGUUGAAAACCCGAAAGGGCGACUUAGGAAAAAAUGAGCGUCUCGGUGGAUUAAAAACCCGAAAUGGUGAUCCAAAUGAAGUGUGUGAAGAAUGUGUGCAGAUGAAGUAGCACAAGAACAAGUUCAGUAAGGAUGCAGGAAGCAGGUCGAAGGAAAUUCUUGAAGUCACAUACUCUGAUGUAUGUGGUCCUAUUCAAGUGGAUUUGAUUGGAGGUAACAUAUGAUUUGUUACAUUCAUAGAUGAUUUCAAUCGAAAACUAUGGGCUUACCUGAUCAAGAAGAAAAGUGAAGUGAUUGAGGUAUUUUCCAAGUUUAAAUCUAUGGUCAAAAGAAAAAAGCAGUCGAACGCUUAAGACUCUGAGGACUGAUGGUGGUGGAGAAUAUGUAUCGAAAGACUUCGACGCAUUAUGUGUGAAAGAAGGGAUAAUGCAUGAGAUAGUGCCACCCUACACUCCACAUCAUAAUGGAGUCGCACAAAGGAAGAAUAGAACCAUUAUGAAUAUGGUGAGAAGUAUGUUGAAAGUCAUGCAUCUAACCAAAGAAUUAUGGGGAGAAGCUAUAUCGACUGCAACAUAUAUCCUGAACAAAUAUUCAAUGAAGAAGCUAGAAGGAAUCACGCCAAAAGAAUGUUGGUCUGAUGUCAAGCUCAACUUGAGUUAUCUGAAUGUAUUUGGAUCUAUAGCACAUAGACAUGUGCCAUAUCAGUUGAGAAGAACACUUGAUGACAAGUUAAGUCAGAUGAUCCUGAUAGGAUAUCAUUUGAUUGGAGGAUACAAGUUGUUCGACCCAAUGAACAAGAAAGUGGUGACCAGCAGGGACAUGAUCAUAGAUGAGCUUAAGGAAUGAGAUUGGAUUUAGAAUGUUAAGAAGGAUUCAGUGAGAAUCAUAUGUGAUGAACCAACUAGUGAAGUCGAAAGAGAAGUUCGACAAGAAGUCAGAGGUGAAGCAGGCCCAAGAAGACCUCAAAGAACAAGACACAUGCCUGCAAGGUUGCAAGAAUGUGUGAUUACAUCAGAUGAUAUGGUCAAUGAAGAAUUUGAGUUGGUACACUAUGCUUUCUACGUAGAUGUCGAACCAGUCAAUGCAGCUGAGGAAUUGAAAGAUUCAAAGUGGGUGAAAGCAAUGAAUGAAGAAUUGAAGUCAAUCGAAGUCAACAACACUUGGUCACUUUCUGAAUUUUCCAAAGACAAGAAGGCAAUCGACGUGAAGUAGGUAUACAAGAUGAAGUUGAAUCCCAAAGGAGAAGUGACUCGACACAAGGAGAAACUUGUAGCGAAAAGAUUUCUUCAGAAAGAAGGAAUUAACUUCGACGAAGUUUUUGCACCUGUUGCUAGAAUCGAAACAUUCAAAUUACUUGUUGGUCUAGCAAACAUGAACAACCGGUAGAUAUGUCAGAUCAAUGUGAAAUGUGAUUUCCUGAAUGGCCCCUUAGAAGAAGAAGUUUAUGUUGCACAACCAGCUGGGUUUGUGAAACAAGGCAAAGAAAGAAAGGUGUACAUGCUUCAUAAAGCCCUGUAUGGACUUAAACAAGCUCCAAGAGCUUGGAACAAGAAGAUAGAUGGCUUUCUAAGGGAGAAUGAAUUUGUGAAGUGUACAACUGAAUAUGGAGUAUAUGUAAGAAGGAGAAAGAGUGAAUUGCUUAUACUAUGUCUCUAUAUCGAUGACCUGUUGAUAAUAGGUAACUGCAAGAAGGAGAUCAAAGACUUCAAAGGUGAUCUCAACAAGGAAUUUGAAAUGACAUGUUUGGGUGACAUUUCAUAUUUCCUUGGCAUCGAAUUCUACAUGAGUGGUAGAUGUUUGGUGAUGCAUCAAAGAAGGUAUGCAGGUGAAAUAAUCAUGAUAUUUGAGAUGCAAGAUUGCAACUCAACUUUGACUCUAGCUGAGCCCAGAUUAUAACUAUUGAAAGAUUCAGAUGAAGAUGAUGUUGACCCUAAAGGAGAAUUGCGGUCCAAAACGCAGCGGAAAUUAAAAUUUCUCCUUUACAGAUCCUUACGAAUGGUCAUGAUCAGUGAUAGAAUAUUUACCUCUUGUGAUGGUUGAAACCUUUGGUGCAGAUCUCUUGUGACGAUUGAAACCUUUGAUGCAGAUCCACGAAGCGAUCACGAACGUUGAACGAUGACAACGUCUCUACUCAGUCCACACGAACGGAUUCCUUCAAUCUCAGUACUAGCUGGUACGAAUGAAGGCUUUGAGAGAGAGAGAGAGAGAGAGAGAGAGAGAGAGAGAGAGAAAACAAAAAUAAUGCAACCGCAAUGAAUGCUUCUGCACAAGGUUUCUAUUUAUAGAACCAUUUGUGUGGGCUUCAAGCUAAAAGCCCACUUAAGUGUAUUUUGGCCCAUAUCUUAUAAUAUGCCCAAAAUCACUUAAGCCCAUGGUACCUUACCAUAUUUCGUAUUCUACUUAAGUACACCAUACCUUACGAUGUUCUACAAUUCACUUAAGUGCACUGUACCUUACGGUGUUCCUUAGUUACUAUAUCUCUCAUCAAUUCAUCCUUUGUGUGUGACCCUGUAGGUUUUCGCGACGUUGGCAAUUAUAUUAAAUCACACAUUUAACAUAAUAAACAAUGAGUGUAUCUAGCAACACAUCACUGCUACCCAAGAUACAAAAAUGUCAUGUGAUCUGACAAAUCCUUUUGUGAUAAUACUUAUGUGUAGAAUUACCCUUUUACCCUUAUGUCUAUAUUGAACACAAGGCAUAAACCGUGUCAUCCUUGUCCAGUUCAAUAUUGGGCCCAUAGACAUUUAUCCUGUUAUGCAGGAUGGGCAAAUUCCAUCUAGGUCACUCAUGUCCCUCAGCAUGCUUCGUGGAGUACCCAUCAACUGUCUUUAUGGUUAUCCAGUUACGGACAACGUUNNNNNNNNNNNNNNNNNNNNNNNNNNNNNNNNNNNNNNNNNNNNNNNNNNNNNNNNNNNNNNNNNNNNNNNNNNNNNNNNNNNNNNNNNNNNNNNNNNNNNNNNNNNNNNNNNNNNNNNNNNNNNNNNNNNNNNNNNNNNNNNNNNNNNNNNNNNNNNNNNNNNNNNNNNNNNNNNNNNNNNNNNNNNNNNNNNNNNNNNNNNNNNNNNNNNNNNNNNNNNNNNNNNNNNNNNNNNNNNNNNNNNNNNNNNNNNNNNNNNNNNNNNNNNNNNNNNNNNNNNNNNNNNNNNNNNNNNNNNNNNNNNNNNNNNNNNNNNNNNNNNNNNNNNNNNNNNNNNNNNNNNNNNNNNNNNNNNNNNNNNNNNNNNNNNNNNNNNNNNNNNNNNNNNNNNNNNNNNNNNNNNNNNNNNNNNNNNNNNNNNNNNNNNNNNNNNNNNNNNNNNNNNNNNNNNNNNNNNNNNNNNNNNNNNNNNNNNNNNNNNNNNNNNNNNNNNNNNNNNNNNNNNNNNNNNNNNNNNNNNNNNNNNNNNNNNNNNNNNNNNNNNNNNNNNNNNNNNNNNNNNNNNNNNNNNNNNNNNNNNNNNNNNNNNNNNNNNNNNNNNNNNNNNNNNNNNNNNNNNNNNNNNNNNNNNNNNNNNNNNNNNNNNNNNNNNNNNNNNNNNNNNNNNNNNNNNNNNNNNNNNNNNNNNNNNNNNNNNNNNNNNNNNNNNNNNNNNNNNNNNNNNNNNNNNNNNNNNNNNNNNNNNNNNNNNNNNNNNNNNNNNNNNNNNNNNNNNNNNNNNNNNNNNNNNNNNNNNNNNNNNNNNNNNNNNNNNNNNNNNNNNNNNNNNNNNNNNNNNNNNNNNNNNNNNNNNNNNNNNNNNNNNNNNNNNNNNNNNNNNNNNNNNNNNNNNNNNNNNNNNNNNNNNNNNNNNNNNNNNNNNNNNNNNNNNNNNNNNNNNNNNNNNNNNNNNNNNNNNNNNNNNNNNNNNNNNNNNNNNNNNNNNNNNNNNNNNNNNNNNNNNNNNNNNNNNNNNNNNNNNNNNNNNNNNNNNNNNNNNNNNNNNNNNNNNNNNNNNNNNNNNNNNNNNNNNNNNCUAUUCUAGGGACUUUAUUAAACAAACAUAAUAAAGAAAAAGCCUUUUAUUAUUAAUAAAUAAUUCGAUACAAGUACCAAAAGUAUUGGCCUCUAGGGCUUACACCAACAAUCUCCCACUAGCACUAGAGCCAAUCAGGCAUACCCCUAAUGCCCAUAGAUCUAGUAUGGCCAUCAUGCUUCUGCUGCGCAAGAGGCUUUGUCAGUGGGUCAGCAAUAUUGUCAAGUGUAGGUACUCUGUAUAUUUUCACAUCUCCUCUAUCUAUUAUCUCUCGAAUGAGAUGAUAACACCUAAGUAUGUGUUUGGAUCGUUGGUGAGAUCUAGGCUCCUUAGCUUGUGCGAUAGCACCAUUGUUAUCACAAUAGAGAUCAAUGGGAUCCAUAAUGCUAGGAACUAUGCCAAGUUCACUAAUGAACUUUUUGAUCCAAACAGUUUCCUUUGUUGCACUUGAGGCAACAAUAUACUCGGCCUCGGUUGUAGAAUCAGCAAAUGUAUCUUGCUUUGAACUUUUCCAGCUCACAGUGCCACCAUUUAAGAAAAAAAACACAUAACCAUUGGAAUCAUGCAUAUUAAAGCAUCUCAACACUUUGUCUAUGUAUGUACUCUGACUUAGGCCAAGCAGUUUUGUGAUCUAUCUCUACAGAUUCUGAUUCCUAAUAUAUAGGCUGCUUCACCUAGGUCCUUCACAGAAAAGCAUUUCCCCAACCAAUACUUUACUUGUUGCAGGGUAGGGACAUCGUUUCUAAUGAGUAAUAUGUCAUAUACAUAUAAUACCAAGAAAACGGUCAUGCUCCCACUAACCUUCUUGUAGGCAUAAGGCUCAUGUUCGUUCUUGAUCCAUGAGUGAUACAUCACCUUGAUCAGUUAUGAGAUAUCCAUAUCUCUCAGGUAGGUGACGUAUCCUGCCUGACCUACGCUGGUCUUGUUCUACUUGAGCAGGUUGCUCUUCCACAACUACUUGUGUUUCCUGCUCUAAAUAUCCUCAUAGUUUCAAUGCUUUGUGAUUUCUUCGAAUUUCUUCAGAGGCUCUACUUUCCUCCCACUAAUUCUUUUAAGAAAUAAAAUCUUUUUCUAGGAGAAACUCAUGUAGAGCGACAAAUAUUUUGCCCUCAAGAAAAUUGUAGAAGUAAUACCCUUGUUUCUUUAGAUAGUCCCCACAACUAGCAUUUGUCAGAUUUGGGCUCAAGCUUUAAGUUGGAAACUUGUCGUUUUCACAUAAACUUCAGCACCCCGAACUCAUUGUAAGACAUAUGGUUCUUGCUGUUAACCACCCUCAAAAUUGCCUCCUCUCGUUGGGACUUACAUUAACAUUUUUUUGCAUAUCAUUUGUUAGGUCAUUAGGUCAUUUAUAUUGCAUAACAUGUGGUUACAUUAGUGCAAGCGUAAUUUCUAGUCUUAUCCAGAAGAUGAGGAAGUCGAGAAGGUGCAAGCUAGGGUUUUGACCUGAAUCUAUUGGGCCAUCUUAGUAUUGACCCUGUGUCAAUAGGGUUUAAUGAUCUCCAAGGGGUUGAUUUGUCUUUCUCUCUUUGUUUGAAAUGAUGACAUCACAUCAAAAUCAUGAUUGGUGAUGUCAAUCAGAAGAUGAUAGCUAAUUCCUUGAGUAUUGAGGUUUUGGACCACUGGUCAACCCUAAUCAUUGUAUUGGCAAUAAGGGCUGGAUUCAGGAGAUGGGGUUUAUGAAGGAGAUGAGGAUCAUUUUUUGACUAUGAUGGGAUUAUUUGAGCUAGUUUCACCUUGAGCGAUUUCAGUUGAAUGGGUUCAAAUUGAUUCUAUGAUUGCCAGAUUCAUCUAUCAGAUUGAAAAGUCAACUGUGGUCACCUGUACAUGCGAUCUGUGGAGUUGGAGUGGAGUAACAAGUUUUUGAUACACUUCCAUGUCAUGUUGAACAAGUGUUUGAAUGACAUUGCCAUAAGCUUAAAAAAUGAAGAAAUCAAGUCUAGGACAAAAACUGCCACAAAAGAGUGACUGGUAAGUGAAGUCUUCCAAAAAUGGAAAGUUUUUGAUCCUCAAAACAGAGUCAAAGGAAGUCUUCAGAAUGACAAAUUGUUCAACAUUGAUGAGAGUAUGUAGAUCUUGGUCUCACCUUUNNNNNNNNNNNNNNNNNNNNNNNNNNNNNNNNNNNNNNNNNNNNNNNNNNNNNNNNNNNNNNNNNNNNNNNNNNNNNNNNNNNNNNNNNNNNNNNNNNNNAGGUGUUCACACAUACUUUCCACAGAAGGAGUUCUCUCAAACAAUAUAGUGUAAUUGUCCAUGAGGCGUUGAAUACCAUCUUUCAACUUCCAGCAGCUAUCAGGUUUGUAGGCACAAUAAAAACAGUUUUCGUUGCAACCUGGAAAGAAUCCAGCCUGCACCAGCUUCUUCUUGAAAAUAGAUAAGGGAGUAGUCACAUCUUCUACUGAGGAAACAUAUGAAACUUCAUCAACAGCAUUAACAGUCUUCUCAUGAUUGGGCACGGGAGCAGUAAUCACAUUUGGAGUCCCAGGAGGGUCAAAUUCAAUCUCCCCAGCUUCAAUCAUAUCUUGAAUCUUAUUUUUCAGCACCCAGCAAUUGUUGGUGUCAUGUCCCGGAAAAUUAGAAUGAUAGGCACAUCGUGCAUUAGGAUUGUACCGAGGAGAGGAAGUAUUAGGAUUCUGAGGAGGGUCCUUCAAAGUAAUGAGUUCCCCUUUUAACAUGUGUUGCAAGGCUUGGGCCAGUGACAUGUUGAUCUUGGUGAAUUGUCUUCUAGGCUUCUGUUGAUUGCUCUGUGGUAGCUCUGGUGUUGCAGGAGUAGGAUUAGAAAUGUGAACUGCUCCUANGAACUGCUCCUACGGAUUGGUGACUUCUGUUACGGCCAGGUUGACCAUACACAGCAUUAGACUCCUUCUUUCCACUAGGGGGCUUCUUUGCAGUGCUUGAUGAAGAGGCACCCACCUGUAUCUUACCACUUCUUAUGCCACUUUCCACACGCUCUCCAGUCAUUAUCAGCUCAGUGAAACCAGAUGAUGAGCUUCCAAUGAGGUGACUAUAGAAAGGACUAUUCAGCGUACUCAUAAACAUAUCCACUAGCUCCCUGUCAGUCAGAGGAGGUUGAACUCUGCCAGCCAGGUCUCUCCAUUUCUGGGCAUACUCCUUGAAAUUCUCCUUAGCACCCAUUGACAUGCUUUGUAGCUGCAUGCGAGUAGGUGUUAAAUCAGCAUUGUACUGGUAUUUCCUGUAGAAGGCCUCAGCAAGAUCAUUCCAAUCACGGAUAUUGACACUCUCCAAUUGAUAGUACCAUUCCAAUUGAGCUCCAGACAAGCUCUCUUGGAAGAAAUGAAUUAUCAGCUUGGGACAUGAGACACCAUCAUAUACCAUAAAAGCAGGAACCUUGAAACCAAUAGGUAUAACCACUCCAGAUAUUAAACUCAGAUCUUCAAAAUCCAGCCCAGAAGAUUUUUGUAACUCCAUAGCAUUCAUUCUACCCACCAGCAUCUUGUACUUAUCUUCAUUAGGAUCAUGAUAAUAAUUUGCUUCAGAAUCAGAAUCUCCCACAGUAUCAUGGGGACCACCUCCCUCUUUCUCAGAAUUUUCAGACUCAUAAUCAUCAACACCAUAGCAUUCAUUCUAUCCACCAGCAUCUUGUACUUAUCUUCAUUAGGAUCAUGAUAAUAAUUUGCUUCAGAAUCAGAAUCUCCCACAGUAUCAUGGGGACUACCUCCCUCUUUCUCAGAAUUUUCCGACUCAUAAUCAUCAACCUGUUCCUUUGUCUUGAUAGGGCCUCUGAAUCUUCUUCCCAGAUUGAUAAGGCCUCCUGAUCUUCUAGUCCUCUUCUUUUUCUUAGCCAGCAAUGUCUUCAACUCAUCUUGCCCCUUGGACAAGUUCAGAAUCAACUCUUGGAAUUGUGCAUUCUGAGCCUGGAGAUCUUUGACAGUCUGUUCAAGAGCCAUUUCUGCUGAAAAAAACAGGGAGAAGAUAAGAUACCUGUUCAUAAGAAACCUGUGAUGCAAUAAUAUGGUAUGUCGAUGCUUAUGCAAUAUUUUCAAGGACCGUAGGAUUUAAAUUUGUUUAAACCACCAAAAAGUAAACUUUUAUUAGUAAUAAACUUGUUUGCCCCUUGGGCUUACAAAAAAUGAAAUGAAUACAAAAAAAAACCACCAAAAAGUAAACUUUUAUUAGUAAUAAACUUGUUUUCCCCUUGGGCUUACAAUAAAAAUGAAAUGAAUACAAAAAAUGGGGUUUUAAGUCUCCCAUGGACGUUUCCUCUUUGUGUUGAGGUGUGAGUUGAGAUUCCGCUCCUCGUGAAGUUGUUUUGUUAGCUCCAGGAUUCUUUCCUGACUUGCCUUGUAAUGAGUCUCAAAAGUAUCUCUUUGCUCCUUCAACUGGAUCCAGGACCCCUGUAACUCUUCCAUGUCAGUGGGCAUGUCUGGAUGAAGAAUGAUGUAAGGAGUAUCCCCUUCAGCAACAGGCUCCAUGGUAACUGGCAACAUAGUAGGAUAUGGCAUCAUAAGAGUCUGAGCACGAGAUCGUACCCAUCUGAGAUAUGGUUCCAUAGGAAUAGUGUACUUGGGUUCCAGAGUCUUGCUGUCAACCUUGUUCACUUUACCCCAUGCUUGUAUGAACCUUUGACGGUAACCUUGAAGAUCGUUGUCGUAGUCGAACACAAUACCCUGAAUAAGCAUGUCAUGAGGACCAUAGCUCCAAGCGUAAUCAAGACUGAGCUAGAGCUUAAGAAGGGUUGUAGGAACUGCCCCUCUUAGUGCCAAAGAGUGGCCAGCAUUAGGGAAACUCCCCACAACGGUCAGAUGAUGGUACAUUCUUCAUGAGAGUCUAGAGCACCAUGGAAUAUCGUAAAUUGAGAAAGUGACAUAAUCCUUGCUUGCGGGACCCCUGAACCUUGCUUCAUUCUUCAUCCACUGAUCGAGAGGUGAGAAAAAACCACCUAAGUAGAUUAGAGGUACUGCAACACAUCAGAGUUCCUCGUGCCUUCGUAGUCGAGUAUGAAUGAGAGUGUAAGAUGCUGCUCCAAGUAAGGNNNNNNNNNNNNNNNNNNNNNNNNNNNNNNNNNNNNNNNNNNNNNNNNNNNNNNNNNNNNNNNNNNNNNNNNNNNNNNNNNNNNNNNNNNNNNNNNNNNNCUCUCUCUUUUGCAAAAAGCCUCAGAACCAUUACCCAUGGCUUCCUCAUCCCGAAGACCUACCGGUAAGAGAUCAAGGGAAACAUCCUCUGCCUCCUUACCCAUCACCGCUGUGUCAUUAGUUCCACCAGCACUUGUCGACACCUUCAACAAGGACAUUGGUAAAAGAGGAGUUGUGCGGCAACAUGCAUUCUACAAACUCACAGCAGAGCGAAUGCAUCUUGUAGAAAUCAUGUCUCUGCUACAGUAUCACGACAUUGUCAACUUCCUAGAAUGCAAUGCCAAAUAUAGCGAGGACCUGGUCUGUGUGUUCUACACCUGUCUUCAUGACAAGUUUCGUGGUCAAAGGUUUCACUCCAGAAUCGGCACAACAAAGGUAUCCUUUAAGUCUACCGUUUGGAAUAAUUUUUUUGACACGACUGUGGCUGCUGAUGAAAAUCCUCUCGCUGAGGUAACUGAUUCUCACACAAUCGAAGGGUAUGAAUUUAAGAGCGCUCUGAAAGUUAUGCUGAAACGACCCUACCCGGACCACAUUAUAAACAGUGACGCGUUCCCACGAACUGUCACUGUCGGGAAACUGAAAACAUGUGAGCGCAUUCUCCAGUGGAUUGUGUCACGCAUACUGCGACCUAAGAAGGGUGGUCUCUCCCGAGUUGAACAAGCUGAAGUUCAUCUCAUAUACAUCUUAAAGAAUCAGCGGAAAAUAAUACUGCCCUACUUACAUUUUGCUAGUUGGGAGUUCAGCUUUACGAGACCUCCGGACGAGGAACGACUCUGGCCUUAUGGAUCUUUCAUUUCAAGGAGCCCGUUCCUUAGGCAGCUGACGUGAUUAUUCGUCCUUUCCGUAUUACCUCCAUUUCCUCAGACAAAAAGAAUUCAGCCCAAAACUUUGUCUAUGAUGGGAUAAUUUUUGCGUGUGCAUGAGCGGAGAAUAUACAAAUUUGUUCGCCGCAGGGCUUUGUUCCUACAGAAUUGAAAGAAGAUGAUUGAAAGUGAAGAAGAAGAUCAAGAGGAAAAUGAAGAAGAAGGAGCUGGACAAGCAUUUGACCAGCAUGAUAGUCCUCUACAAGCGGACACACACGACUACAAUCACUCCGCUUGGGUUCAGAUUUCGCAUUCAACUGAAGAAAAUGCUCCCAACCAGGGUGGCUGGGGUGAAUGGCAACAUAUGGGCUGGUCAACGCAACGACAAUUCUAUCAGCCAUAUCAACAUGGUGCUGAAGCAUCUCCACCGUCUCCUCCGUAACAAGGCAACUCGUCUGAGCUUUUAGAUAUGAUGAGAAAUAUGCAACUGGCUCAACAAUCAUUUAUACAAACUCAGGAUGAGCGCUAUGCUCACAUAUGCAGCCAGCUUCAAGCACAUAAUGAGAGGAUCGAUAACCUCUCUACCAAAAUGAAUGAUCGGUAUGCAGCAUUCACCGAGACAUUUGAACGACAGGAGCAAUCAGUAGAUGUGGGCCUCAAUUAUCUAAGCAGUGUUGUUGACCAAAUAACUUCCUUGGCAGACCCUGACAGAAAUCCGGAUAUCCGUCCCCGUCGAGGUCGAGGCCAUUAGGACAUAGAACUACAUAUGCAUCUACAUUUUUGUUGUUUAACUGUAUUCAUUUUUCUGUUAUGCUUGUUUGUGCAAAUCAAAUUUAAUGAUUAUCUCCGUUUAAUUAAUGAUUAUCGUUCAGUAAUGAUAUUUAGUGUGAUAUUGUUAUCUGAUAUUGUUAUCUCCUGUUGUAUUUUUAUGUUACGUUGACUACUCGUUCCUUUUCUCUUUUUGAUGUUGUCAAAUGGGGAGAAGACCAUGUACCAAACCAAAGCCAAGAUGAUAUUCACAACAGUUUGUUAGACAGUCUUAGAUUACAAAAGAAAGGGGAAGUGUGUAAAAUAUGUGUAAAUAUUGCAUGUUGUUUUCUCUUUGGUUUCACACAGGUUGUCAUCAUAAAAAAGGGGGAGUAUGUAAGGGCAAACUGUCAUACAACAUACAAUCAUAGGUUUCGAUGAUGAACAUGUUGUUUUCUCUUUGGUUUCACACAGGUUGUCAUCAUAAAAAAGGGGGAGUAUGUAAGGGCAAACUGUCAUACAACAUACAAUCAUAGGUUUCGAUGAUGACAAAUGACCACCAUGGAUGAAUCGGCAAUGUCGAUCCCACCUCUACAAAACAAAUGCAACGUAUCACCUAUCAUAUCCUUUUCAUUGCUCAUCUGUACUGUUAUAUUUUGUACAACAUACGUGGACAAAGUGUGGUCAUGACAAAAGGCAUGAAAACCACAAAAAUGUUAUUUUUUGCAGAUCUGCAGGGGAUGAGUCGACCGUAGGGUCGGCGCAUGAAAUAGUACAUUCCCCACGGGUCAGCGCAUGAAAUAGUACAUUCCCCACGGGUCAGCGCAUGAACACAACACUUUUCCCACGGGUCAGCGCACAAGAUGCUUGCGUCGAUCGCAGGGGUCAGCGCAUGAACCACGGGUCAGCGCACGCCGACCUAUGGUCGACGCAUACUGAAGCAUUUUUCAGUCUGACCAAAACUGCAGGCCAUGCGUCGACGCAUAGUCCUGCUGAUGUCGACCGUUCGUGCCAAAUUCAGUUUUUCUGAUGUUUCCCACUCUGUUUGAAAAGCUGUUAAGUGGGUGGUUUGGUUGGUUACUUAAAUAGAAUUUCAAGUUAUUGUAUCAACUAAUAUUUUGAUAUUUUGAUUCAAGUGUUCAAAGAACAAGAAAAGUGAAAUAGGUGUCCAAGAUUCUUCAUCUUCAUCUUCAACAUCUCACAACACAUCAACUACACACAACCAUAUUUGAGGUGCUUUGUGAUGGUUAAGGUGAUAAGCGUUCGAAGUCCGUGAUUGGGGAAUCCGGUUCGGGUUGAAGCUGCGAUAAGUUUUUCUUGAAUAAAAACCUUUAAGGGUUUUGUCCUCCAAGAUAGGUUUUGAUUUUGGGGGUUUUGGACGAAUUGCUUCAUCAAUUUUCAGCUAGCGAAGGUGAUUGAGAAGAGGAAGUCUUCAUCAGUCUAGUAGCGAUUCAGUGAUAUUGAAGGAAGAAUUCGGCGUUCAUUUGUAUGUAGUGAGAAUCAGCCGGGCCGAGGGUUUGAAGAACUGAGGGUUAUUCAACAAAGGGGAUGGAAUCGGAGGUCUAUAACAACAAUCGAAGGGACUUGAUUCAUCUUUGAAUCAAGGGCAAGGAGUGGAAGCAACAUUCAACGUCUUGAGAGUUCUGUGAUAUUUGCUUUGCAAUCCUUGUAUAAACGCGUUAAAUUCAACAGGUGAUAUCAUUAAAUCAUCUCAAUUCUAGUUUUAGAAUUGAGGCAGACGCUACCCCGAAGCGAGACGGAGCGGGAACUGCCUCAUUAAAAUCUUUGUCUUCUCUAAUUUUCUGCAUAUUGUUUUCAGCUUAAAAAUUAAGUGAUUUUGUAUAAGCACUUUUAUCAAACUUUGAUAUUAAUUGAGUAAGAGGUUAGAACUCUGUUUUGAAUCCAAAGUAUAAUAGGGAUAUUGUACUAGAUUAAUUGGAAUCACUUACUCAACACAAAUAUCACUUGGAGUGUUUUCACACACCAAGUGUUUGAUAAUUUGCCUAAACCAAAAUUAUCUUAAGUGUGUAUCUAGUUUGAUUUGCUAUUUGAAUCAUUGGAACUAGGAAUUCUAGUAAGUGAAACAAAUCAUUGAUUGUGUGACUAGUGUAGUGUAUUCUUAUUCCACAUUAUCACUAAUCAUAGGCUUGACACAUAUCCGGUUUUCCAAUAACAGUUCGUUUUAGACUAUAUUUUCCUUGGCCGCUUCCGCACUUAAACAAUUUUCAAAACCAAUUUUUAAUUGGUAGCGCCGACUUAUUUUUAAUUGGGAUCUAUUCAACCCUCCCCCCCCCCCUUUCUAGAUCCGUGCCAUAUAGUCUAACAAAAGGUGUUCACUUUGUACUACGAAAUCACUUGUAAGAAAAACUUCCCAUUCCCAGCGCGAGGAAGCAAGAGUUUUCUCUGAGAGUGCUAUGUACGCUUGAAUCACCACAUUUAUUUCAAUGCAACUUCCCUACUUUUCAAUUGUUCCCGUUGAACAUUUUAUUUUAAUUUCUUUUGCUUUUGAAUUAUCAUUUUACGUUGUCGUUUACGCUGUCGACACUAACUCUAUCACGAUCAUAGAGUUUACCAAAAGUGUGUUCGUAGUAUACAUCUUUUGAAUGUUAUAGCGCUGUCGGUCACGAGUCACCUAUAGGCGAUAACAUUGUCUAAAACCGUUCGUGUGGAAAAACCCUACGCUUAUUCGACACUUUGUUGGGAGUCGUUCCUCACAAAGUCAUUUCGUCGAAGUCUGAACAAGUCUUACUUGCACUAGCACAUGUCCUAGGAUCAACUGGUCGAUCCUGCAAGUAACCCUUCGUUUUAAGACCAGGGAGGAACAACGGUUGUUUACCAAUUUCCACAGUAAACACUCAGCAAGGAUGAUUAAAGAUUUAAUCAAGCUAUGACAUUUGAAAUUUAAUCAUGACAAGGCUAAGGUACAAUAUAUUUUGAUUAAAAAAAUGAUAUCCAGCCUCAGGACUGACUAAAUUAAGAGGACCGAUCUCACCAUCCACUAAAAGAGUCCAUUUAAAAUUGUUAUGGUACGAUAAUAUGCCCAAAAGGGGAGCCCAAUCAUUCGUUCAAGUCAUUUCAUCAUUCAUAUAUAUAACAUCUCACGUAAGAUUUGAGGUAUUCUUUCUCUAAUCCAUAACUCACUUUACUUGUCAUUAUUUUAUUAACUUGAACGUUGGAGUGCUAAUUAACCUUACUAAUUCACCUCUAUGUGAUCGUAUCGAAAGUCUUCUAAACCACAUCAAGAUUCUAAUUUAUUAUUUCACAGAUCAUUUAUGAUUCUCAAACAAAACAAAAACCAACACAGAUUAACCUAAUACAUAAAUUUUAACUCAUAGUAGGUAUUAAAAAUUGAGAUCUUAAAAGAAAAACACUCUUACUCUCGAACAUAAAUCUUUGUCAACAUGUCAACAAGUUAUCUUAUAAAGGAAGAAAUUAUAAUAUUUUUUCUUCAAAUAAAUUAGUUUUCAAUUCAUUGUAAUGUGUUUCUUUUGUCUAGGUGCAUGGUGUAAAACAUUCUCUAAAUUAUUGAUUUUUCGUCAAAGUAAAAAUUGAUUUAAAAACGUACGUAAUGUUAGUACGACAAAUUAAGGAUCGCGCGUUGAAUACAUUAGCGAUUCCAAUUUUUGUCGGCACGUUCCUACACGGAUGCAAUAACAGUUUACAGUUAUCAUAUGAUUAUGUCCAAAACAAAACAAAUAUCAACAUUAAAAUAUCAUUUUGGAACAUUCCCAGCAACUUCUUGUUUAUCUAGUAACUUCUUUUUUCAACACAAUCCGAACACGCCACUAUACUAAACCGACAUCACCAAAACAUAUCUAUAUAUAACAACUUUGAUUCACAUUUUACUAACAUCAAUCAAUCAUCCAUCACAAUGAAGGACGCUGGAUUCGAGCAUGUUAUAAAAUAUUUUGACGAAGAUGGUGAUGGAAAGGUUUCACCAGCAGAGCUACGACAGAAGCUGGUACUGAUGGGAGAGGAUGUUUUGUUGAAAGAAGCUGAAAUGGCUAUUGAAGCAGUGGAUUCGGAUGGUGAUGGUUAUUUGAGUUUGUCGGAGUUGAUUAGUUUGAUGGAGGAAGGUGGAGAGGAAGAAAAGUUGAGGGAUUUGAAAGAAGCAUUUGAGAUGUAUAAUGAUAGUGAUAAGUGUGGCUUUAUAACACAUGGAGGAAGGUGGAGAGGAAGAAAAGUUGAGGGAUUUGAAAGAAGCAUUUGAGAUGUAUAAUGAUAGUGAUAAGUGUGGCUUUAUAACACCAAAGAGUUUGAAGAGGAUGUUUAAGAAGAUGGGUGAGUCCAAAUCUAUCAAUGAAUGUAAAACUAUGAUUAAACAUUUUGAUUUGAAUGGGGAUGGUGUACUUAGCUUUCAUGAAUUCACAAUUAUGAUGCAAUGAUGUCAUAUUAUAGUUCAUCUUUUCAUUCCUAUUCUCAUUCAUUUACGUGUAAAUAUUCUUGUAGAUUUUAUUACCAUAUUAAAUGAAAAGGAGAAUAUAAAAGAGGACGUUUCGUAGCCACUACUUGAGCAAUGAAAGUCGUUUUUUUGCGGUAGGAAAUGAGAAAAUAGAGUUUAUUUUGUUAAAAUUUAUCUAUUGGAGAUUCAUUUUGUCAAAUCAAUGUUAUUAUAAAUGUGUUAGAAGCUACUCCUUCCGGUGUUAAAUAUAAGAAGAAAAAAUUAAUAAUUAUAAAUAUAAAUAAAAAUUAUUUAUAAUCAUUAUAUUUAGUGUCACUAUUUUAAAUAUAUUUCUAUUUUUUUUAUUUUUUUAAAAUAAAAAAUAAAGGUACAAUUAGAAAGAGCGAAAGAAUUUUAAAUAUUUUUUUUUAUAGAGGGUGAGUUUUUUUUAUAAAUUCUCUUAUAUAUAAGAAUGGAUGGAGUAUUCGUUAGGCCCCAUCUCUUACCAUGGGUUGGAGGUAUGUUUGAUCGGUAGCAUUAAUCUUAGAAAUGAAGAAGUUGGAACGUUCAAAAAACAGUUGGAUAAAAUCUCAUUAUUUAAAAUUAAAACUUUGAAUUACUUAUAACAUAAAGAAAAUCUGAAAAUAGAAUUAAAAAUGUUUCCUCAGAACCUUAGAUACGAGUUUUUAGAUUCGGAAUCCAACCAUCCUGGCAUUAUCAGUGUUGAUUUAGGAAAAAUCUAAACUGAUAAACUAUUAGUUAUUUUGAAUAAAUACUCUAUGGUCGUAGGGUACACCAUUAGAGAAAAACUAUAAGCCUUUUAGAUAGACUAAACCACAAUACUUUUGAAUAAAUACUCUAUAGUCGUAGGGUACACCGUUAGAGAAAAAUUAUAAGCCUUUUAGAUAGACUAAACCGCAAAAACUCUUAGAAUUUGGGGUUCAAUUAGUACCAAAGAAAUGAGGAAUAACUUUAAUAAAGAAUGACAAGGAUGAAUCUAUUGUAUAAUGCGCAUGCAACAUUUCAAUGAUGUAUGGGAUUAACUUUCUUAGAUUUUCAAAAAGAUAUUAUAGAAGUUUUUAUGGAUGAUUUUUCAGUCUGCAAUUCGAGUUUUGGCGACUGUCUUACCAAUUUAAAAAAAAGUACUUGAAAGAUGUGUAAAGGUCAAUCUAGUCCUAAACUAAGAAAAGUGUCAUUUUAUGGCCAGGGAAGGCAUAAUGUUAGGACAUUUGGUGUCCAAAAGAGGGAUAGAGAUGGAAAAACCUAGAACAGAGGUGAUAGAAAAAUUAUUACUUCCCACCUCUAUAAGAGGAGUUAGGAUUUUCCUUGGUCAAUUCUAUCGCCUGUUCAUUCGUGAUUUAUCUAAAAUUUUCAAACUAUUAACAGGACUGCUAAUGAAAAAUGCAGAAUUUAUAUUCGACGAACAAUGCCUUAAGUCCUUCAACAAAUUAAAAGGAGCGCUAAUCUUUGCACCAAUUAUGCAACCUCCUUAUUAGAAUAUAACAUUUGAGAUUAUAUGUGUUGCUAACGACUACGGUGUCGUGUUGUUCUAGGGUAAAAGAAGGACGUGAAAAUGCACACAAUAUAUUACGCAAGCCAAAUCCUGGAUGAAGCAUAAAUAAACUAUGCAACAACAGAGAAGGAAUUAUUGGUUGUAGUUUUUGCAAGUGAUAAAUUACGAUCUUAUUUAGUAUGAUCGGAAAUUAUAAUUUAUACAGAGCAUGCAACCAUUGGCAUGCUUUUGCUUAUGAAGGACAUGCAUGUACAUAAAAAAUUAUUGAAAAAGUACUUCAAGUUGGUCUAUAUUGGUUUAGCCUCUUUAAGGAUGUGCACUCAUUUAUUAAAAAGUGUGGCUAGUGUCAACGCACUAGAAAUAAUUCAAAGAAAGUGAGAUGUUGCUAAACAACAUCCUAGAAGUAGAGAUUUUCGAUGUUUGGGGCAUUAACUUUAUGGGAUUGUUUCCCUCUUCCUUAAGAAAUCAAUAUAUACUUAUGGCAUUCGAUUAUGUUUCUAAGUGAAUUGAGGCCAUAGCUUCUCCAACAAAUAAUGCCCAAACAGUGAUUAAAAAUUUGAAGAAAAUCAUUUUCCCAAGUUUUGGUGUGCUAAGAUUUGUAAUUAGUGAUUGGAGGUCUCAUUUCAUUGCUAAAUAGUUUGAGAACUAAUGAAGAAAUUUAUAGUGAAACAUGAAGUAGAAACUCCAUAUCAUCCACAGAUAAGGAGCCAAUUAGAAGUCUUCAAUAUAGAGAGAAAAAGCAUCUUGAUAAAGAUAAACUCUUUCUCAAGAAAGGAUUGGGCCUUAGAGUUGGAUGAUGCUCUCUGAGCAUGCCGCACAACAUAUAAGACGCCAACUGGAAUGACUCCAUUUAGAUUAGUGUACGGAAAAUGAUGUCAUAUUCAUGUAUAAGUAUAUCAUAAAGCUUGUUAGGCAAUAAAGGCCUUUAACCUAGACUCCAAAAUUAUCAGCGAAAGAAGGAUAUUGUAACUCAUUAAGUUGGAGAUUUAAGACUCGAUAUAUAUAAAAAAUUUAUACUUCAUAAAUAAAGAACUAAAAAAUUGCAUGACAAGUGCAUUCUAAAAAGAUACUUUAGAGAAGGAGAGCUAGUCUUGUCAUUCAACUUUAGGUUAAAGCUAAUUCUUGGAAAGCUAUGUUACAGAUGGUUUGGUCCUUUCUUGGUGAGAAAGGUAACAUCGUAUGGUGCAGUAGAUGUAUGGAAUAAUUUUAAUGAAUUGUUUACGAUAAACGAACAAAAACUCAGCAUUAUAUUGCAGGAGAUAAUGCUGGGAAUGGGUAUGUUUCAUCUUGAAGGAACCCCCUUGAAGGUUUAAAAUAAUUCGAUCAAGCUAGUGACAUAAAAGGAGCUCUGCAUGGGAGGGAAAUCCACAAUAUCGUGUGUUUUUUAGUGUUUUGUUUACGUAAUAGGACUAACAUUGAUUAGAGACUUGACGAGUGAUACAGGUCGAUUAAUGAACUUAGAAGAAAACUUAAAAAUAAUUGGAAAAAAAUCUCCCAAUCAGACCAAAUUACAGUCAAGUAGUAAUUAAGAUUAUGGUCACAAUUUGACCACCCCGCAAAUCCCCAAAAACCGCCAAAAAACCUAAGUGAGACAGGGAGAAUUACGGGUGGCCUGUAAUUAGAAUUAUGCUUGUAAUUCUCCCGAGGCAGAAAAACAAAAAACACUAGCCAAAAUUAUGGUUGUCCCGUAAUAAGAAUUAUGCUCGUAAUUAUGGCGCGCCCAAAAAUUUGAAACUCCCCAUCUUUCAUAGUGGUGGAUAUCACACCCCGAUUUCGACCCUAAAUCACCGAUUCAAUACAUUCAUCAUAGUUGUUGCAUCUUUGCAUAGCAUAACAUGCAUUUCAUACCACAUAAUGCCUAGAAUAUCAGUCGAAAUAAAUUUUCGGAUCUACAGGCAAACCGGUUAAAUCAAUUAUCAAAUGUGCGUCAAAACAACGAGCGGAAUAUUUCAAAAUCAAGCUUGCAGACAUCAGUUUUAUUAAUAUAUGUUUCGUGUAGUUUAACCUGGUGUGCUCAAUUUAUUUGUCGGCUACUUUUUCGGUCACCUUUUGAUCCGUCUGAGUGUUUUAACCGGACGUUUUCUAUUUCAAAAUUUGCAAAAACAUAUAUGUUUUCAAGGAGUUUAUUUCGCACUAAUCAUUGUGGUGCAAUCAUUUUAAUUUUUUCAGGCACUUUCGCACCCGAUUUUUAUUCAUUUUCAAUCAUUUUAUUUUUAUUUUUUGUCAAAAUUUUCAAAAUAAAUAAAUAGAAGUUUCUAUGUUUUUGUUUCAAAUUAAUUUUGAUUAUUUAAAUUAAUUAAAUUUCAUGUGACUCAUUUUGUUUUUAACUAAACUUUUACAUUAAUAAACUCAUUAGAUUUAUUUUGGUAUUAUUAAAAUAUGAAAUACUAAUUAAACCAAUUGUGUUGUUAAAAUUGAGACCGAUAACUAACGUCACAUUGGGCCAGGUGAAGAGGGAGAUCAUUUGUUUUUCAAAAUCAAAUUAAAAGGAGCCAUUGAGACCGAUAACUAACGUGACAUGUGGCAUCCUUAUCCUAUCCUCUAAUUUUGUAAUUUGAAAUUUUAGAUGUUUCAGCCAGUAAAAGAAAGCAAAGCGCACCGAAUCACGUCACAGCUAUAAGGUUUUGUCUUUUCCGUUUCUUCAGUCUCUCUUUUUAUUUUAUCCAAAAUAUUGUGUGACACAUGGAGGAAGGGGGAUCCACGCAGUUAUAUGUGGCUCUCCAUUUUGUUGGAUUCCUUUUCAUUGCACAUGUGACGAUAGCUGGAGUGAAAGGGUCAUACUGGAGUGGUUGAGACCUCGGUAUCACAACCACCAUGACCCAGGUUUGAUCUAUGUGCCCUCACUUCUCUUGUUAUUUUUCAUGUUUUUUCGUUUUUUCCAUCUUUUGCUAUGUAUUUUUAUUAUGUAUUUAUGGUUGCACAUUGUUAUAAGCAAUAAGACCAUGGGGGAAUAGUUGAAGCUCCAUGCCUACCGCCCCCAAGUUUUGGGUUCAAACCCUUGUUGCCACAUUUUCCAUUUUUUUUCCUUUUUCUUCAUUUUUCAACCUUUGUUUUUUUUACUUCUUUUUGCAUUUUUUUUAACCAUCCAAAAUUUUUCUUUAUAUUUUUUGUGACACGUAUUUCUUAUUUAUGACAUUAUAUUUGCAAUUUAAAUUUAUUUUUUCCAUUUAUAUUAUCCUGAUUACGACCAUUGUAAAUAGGUCAUUUUAAUGUUUAAUACAAUGUGAUACUUGCGGAUUUUUAUCCCACUUCCUUUGAAUAUUUUCAUUGCUAAACAUCAGAUUUUAAUUUAUGAAUUCAAUAUUUCCCAUGUUGUUAUUCCACCUAUUAUUUUAUCGAUACAUUGAUUGUAUUUAUCCAUGUUUUUGUUGGUGUAAGCCCUAGAGGCCAAUACUUUUUGGUACUUGUAUCGAAUUAUUUAUUAAUAAUAAAAGACUUUUUCUUUAUUAUGUUUGUUUAAUAAAGUCCCUAGAAUAGAUAGUCCGUUUAAUUGUAUCAAGUGUGACUUAAUCAUGAGAUCACAUUAAACAUAAGGACACUAUUCUUAAAGUAUCUGUAGUCGAGCUUUAUUGUGAAGUGGGAUAACAUUAAAGCAUUAAGACUAUAUGUAUAUAGACUGAUGAUCACAUCUCAUGGAUCAUGGAUAAGGAGUUAUCAAGUCUUAAACAUAGGUAUGAAUAUUAAACGUAAUAUUUAUACUGGAUUGACCCGCUAUGAGAAUACUAUAUAGAAUGUUAUGCAAAGUGUAAUAAGUUAUUCUCAUGGUGAUAAUGGUGUAUACCACCUUCGACCUGAAACCACUAUGGACCCUAGAUGUAGAGUCGAGUGCCUUAUUGCUGAUCAAACAUUGUCCGUAAUCGGAUGACCAUAAGACAGUUAAUGGGUACUCCACGAAGCAUGCUAAGGGACAUGAGUGACCUAGAGGGAAUUUUUCCCAUCCUGCGUAACAGGAUAAAUGUCUAUGGGUCCAAUAUUGAACUGGACAAGGAUGACACGGUCUAUGCCUUGUGUUCAAUAUAGACAUAAGGGCAAAAGGGUAAUUAUACACAUAAGUAUUAUCAUAGAAGGAUUUGUCAGAUCACAUAACAUUUUCGUGUCUUGGGUAGCAGUGAUGUGUUGCUAGAUACCGCUCAUUGUUUAUUAUGUUAAAUGCGUGAUUUAAUAUAAUUGUCAAUGCCGUGAAAACCUACAGGGUCACACACAAAGGACGGAUUGAUGAGAGAUAGAGUAACUAAGAAACAUCGUAAGGUACGGUGCACUUAAGUGAGUUGUAGAACAUCGUAAGGUACGGUGUACUUAAGUAGAAUACGAAAUAUGGUAAGGUACCACGCGCUUAAGUGAUUUUGGCAUAUUAUAAGAUAUGGGCCACAUACACUUAAGUGGGCUUUUUAACUUAUAUCCCACACAAGUGGUUCUAUAAAUAGAACCCUUGUGCAGAAGCAUUUUUGCAAUUGCAAUUUCGUUUCUCUCUCUCUCUCUCUCUCUCUCUCUCUCACUCUCACUCACUCACUCACUCAAAGCCUUCAUUCGUAGCAGCUAGCACUGAGAUUGAAGGAAUCCAUUCGUGUGGAUUGAGUAGAGGCGUUGUCAUCGUUCAACGUUCGUGAUCGCUCCGUAGAUCUGCAUCAAAGGUUAGAAUCGCCACAAGAGGUAACGAUUCUAUCACUGAUCAUGCCCAUUCGUAAGGAUCAUUAAAGGAGAAAUUUUAAAUUCCGCUGUGUUUUGGAUCGCCCUUCUCCUUCAGUUUUAACUUUUUGAAUACAACGUUUCAGUUGUUGUCAAUUUGCACAAACCGACUUUGAGCAUAUUACCUAGGGUUUUGCUUGCACUUCUUAAUUUCCAUUUACAUCGCACGUCCUUGUGUUAUGUGACUUUAAUUCGCAUCCUCGCAUCAUGAUUUUAAUCCAUGCAUGCUUCGUUUUUACUUCUUUUGAUUUAAUUAUUGAACAUGUUGUACAUAUAACUUAUGUGUUGUUGUUUCCUUCACAUGGCUUACUCUUGGGCCUUCUUACAAUGAGACCAUUCUCUUGUGCACUUACACUAAUUUACUUAUGUUUGUUGAUUGGGCUUGAUUUAAUUAUUUCAUUAUCUUGUAUCCUCAUUCGACAAAAAGUACCCUCAUUCCCAUGACGCAUAAUAAAUUUUUACCGCUUUAUUUUUGUAUGCUUGCUUGUUUAGCUAGUUCAAACACAAGAAUAAAAUCAAUCAUUUCUUCAAAAAGAUCAAAAAUAAAAAAUCGAUCCAACGUCGAGUACUUUCUCAAUAACCAAAUCAAUCCAUUUCAAACUCAAUCCAUGUCUCUCCAUUCCAAUCCAUAUUUAUCCUCUUUAUAUUUCAAACUUCCUUUUCACUCAAACUCUUUUUCAAUCAUUCAUCAAAUGUUUAAUCCAACAUCAAGCCAUUUUCUCAAUAAAAUUCAAAAAUAUGUAAUGUCUAUUCAACACUUUUCAAUAAAGAUGGAAACAAAACGCGGUGGAUACCAUGAGCUCCUAAGACUAAGAUUCUAGAUGGACAUCUCGCCCAUCUUAGCUCUCGCUGUCAUUCAAAACUGUCAAUACGGUUUCUUCAAACCCUUUCUCAAUCAAAUCUCAAAACACUUAAAAAUAUCAAACACUUUUGCAAAUAAGAUGGAAACGGAACAUGGUGGAUACCAUGCACUCUUGGGGCUAGUAUUCGAGAUUGAUAUCUCGCCCAUCCAAGUUCUCGCCAUUAUUUAAAACACAUUCAAAUAAAUCAAACUCUUUUCUCGCCGUCGUGCGAUUGAUUCUUAAACCUUUUUCUCAAACGAAAGGUAUUUUGUUUCAAGACGAUGCAAAAAAUGUUUCGUCCACUUGAACAAAUGAGUAAGCUUGCGACAUUUCCCAUAAAUGUUGAUUUGUAAAUCCAUUCGGCAGUGAUGCAAACGUUCCCUUAUCCACUUAUUUUGGGUUGUCCAACAAUGUUUUCAUCGAUUGACCCAAAGUAGCUUUCGUUAAAAUCGACCAACAAAGAAGCAUUUUCUACCCAGAACUACGUAAGCCUUAAGUUCUCUAUUACACCCGUAGGAGCAGAAUUUGUAAAUCUUGUCAGACUCAUUAACAAAAAGGUUAGGUUUAGUCCCUUUCUUCGCACAUUAAUAAAAAAUCCAAAAACAUUUUCUCUUUUAUUUUGAUCAUAUUCUUCUCUCCCUCUUAAUAACUCAAGAAGCCUAACAUUUCUAAGCUAACACUAACGCGCAUAAUUAACCUAACGGUUCUUGUUGAGUACAAUGGACGUGAGGGGUGAUAAUACAUUCCCCUUGGGUAAUCGACUCUCAAACCCUAAUUUUGUUGUGACAACCAAUAUCAUUGUCGUUCUUUCUUAGGUUUUACCGAUAUUUCCUCUUUCCUUUUUAGGAAUAAAUAAAGUUCAAAGUCGACUCUGUUUAGUCAAUCCCACGAGUGUGCGAUUGCGCUUCACUAAGUCAUGUUCUCAUUUUUUGAGGUAUGAUAGUGGACCCUCAACCGCUCUCAUCCACCCAAUAUUUCUUAUCCCCGUCCCUUUUUAACCAAAAACCAAAAAAAAAUUCUCCUCAUUUUUCACACCCUAACCUCUCUCUUACUUCGAAAACUCUUCAUCUUAUCUCUAAAGCCUUUGCCUCCAUAACCAAAACCUCCACUUUCCUUCAAACCCGCAACACAAAAACUAUUUUUUUUUCUUAAAAAAUUUCAAACCUUUACCUCUCCAACAAUCAAAACCUCAACAAACCCACAAUUUUUCUCAAAAAUUUUUACUCAUUGAACAAUGGCACCGAAGAGAGCUAGUGGAAAUCUAGCGGCAACAUCACAGCCAUCCGGAACGUAAAAAAAACAAGUGGCACCUCCAAUGUCACUAAUCCCAACGGGAUAAUUUUCUAGAUC
rnacentral:lncRNA from 1 species